rnacentral:lncRNA from 1 species
GGUUGCUAUGGCUUGGAGGCUCAUCAGGUCUAACGGACUUUCGUCCUUCGACUCCUAUAGGCGGCUUCGCUAUCGCUCCUGACUUAGUAUAGAAACCGGUAUAAAAGUGCUCACCCUCAACUCCAAGGAAUGGGAGUGAAAUUCAUUCCAUUCCGUAUAAGUAAGUUGAUAUGAAAAAUCGGCACAUCCUAUGAAAGGCUCUCACCUAGCAGGCCUCUUUGACCCAGUGCUGGUACAUUCUACAGUGGGAACCACCAGAAAAAAACAAUUGCUUAUCCAUUCCGUAUUGGGUGCCAUACCGUUUGUUUUCUAGAAUCUGGUAUCCGCUAUGUACCUUUCUCUAGAAAAGGCGGAGUCACCUACUUACCUUUCCAAGUCCUCUUCAGAAACAGAUGUAGGCGCUCGUGUGUCCACUAAGCGGUUCUUCUUUGGAAAAAUUCCAGCGAUUUCUUCCCUUGAUUGCUAACUUACUGGUACGUCUUGCCUAUCUGAUCCGAGGAUCCAAGUAUCUGAUCUCAUUGGAAGUAGGUAUUUGAGAAAUAGGUGAGAAAUGGGAGAAACUUACAUCAUUAUGACAAACGAAGGCUUAAGACCACAGGCACAAGACCCGAAAGUGCAACAUAAUCAUAGCUUUUUGGGUUGUAGUGAUCUCUUGUUGUUAGUGCGGGAUUCUACUCUUUCUCUUCCUGGGCGGAUCCUUACUACUAGGUACGAAAUAACAAACAGGAAAGGACAUUGACACGGUCUCCAAAGCAAGACUUUGACCCUCGAUCGCCAUCAGAACAUUGAGUUCGAUUUGUCACAUCUAGACCGGACCCUGUGUACAACUCAUAUAAAGGUAGUCAACCAAACGAACCACCAAUCUAUUAUGAUGCUCGAAUAAAAUAGGACCAAAAGACGGAGGUUUCUGAACUUUUUUAUGCUGUAUGCCUAAGUUUCCAAACCCGUCUUGAAGGUUACUUUACCAGAGAAGUAGGUCCUAUUGACCAAGAAGCGGAAAAAGCAUAGUCGGUACUUCUUAAUGCGGUACGUAAGCUGGUUAUCCUGACUAACAAUCAUGCCUUGCUUGGAUUUAGGGAUUAGGAAUUCUUAUUGGGAAAGAGAUUGGAUUGGCAUUCAAGUAGGAGUAGAUCCUAUUGGUCCAAAGUAGGCAUUCUUGUAUCAAUUAAAGUAGCUAUCUUCAUGAAAUAAGCGCUAAGAUUCUAGUUCAAAGAUAGGAGCAUUAAGCUCUAAAUCCAGUCAGUCCAGCUGGAAGUUUCACUAACUACUUAGGGAACUAGGGACCAGACCAGAGUUAUGAUUGGUGUAUUCCAUUCCUACCGUAAUUGAGACUUGCCCUCGCUCGCGGGUGAUUCCUUAUAGCUUGAUCCAUGUGAUGGCUGUUCUCUGCAAUGAACCACAACAUGUCCAUGGACUUCACAGAGAAUUGAGUGAAUGCACUAAAAACCAAGAAAUGACAUAGCGAGAUAGUCUACUGAGCAGCUCGAAAAGCUCGGACUUCGUAUACAGAAAGUAGAACUAAAAGCAGAUGAGUAGAGAUUGAAUCGAGCAUAGAAAUAAGAGAGUUUUUCUUUGCUUAGCACUGUUCGGUUCGUCUUUCUUUACAAGUCAAUCUAUGCAUAAUUCUAUUUCUUGCAGCGCUGAAUCCGCUUUUGAAAUCCAGAUCAGGGGGCGGUAUUCUUAUUCCUUGGCUCGCCACUUAUGAAACAAAACUAGAUAUUUCUUAUUAUUUUCUUAGGAGCUGAGCUCCGCAUGCGGUUCGAUUAAGAUGCGACAAAACCUUAUCCAUUAGUCUUGGCGAUGCCAGGGAUGGAGGGAGUCAUCAGUCGCACAAGCUUAUUGCUAAAGCCAAGACAGGACAUAAUAGCUUCUAAGUAAUGCCAUUGUACCCGCUUUCAUCAUGCCCAACUCAAAAACCAUUUAUCCCAUACUUCUUCUUUUCUUGUUCCUUCGUAUGAAUAACAGGAAUCCCGGUUCGGAUGGUUGACCAACAUUAUGAUUGUGUAUGAACUAGGGCUUUGGCUCAACACCUGCUGUCUUUCUUGCCCAUCCUUUUGUGGUAUCGAAGCUGUUCAUUGAGAUCCAUAGGUUCACGUUACAACCCACCAAUAGUCGAUUCCAGAGCGGAAGGCGAAAAAGAUAGGACGGGGACCCUUCGGAAGAAGGUAUAUGCCCGUAGUAUCUAGAAAAUAUUCAUGGUUGCAAGAGCGAGGUUAGUCAUCCUCACCAUCACCAUCAAAUACCGGUACUCGCUUUUUCUACAAGCUUGAUUUACGAACUCGACCUUUCGCAGGAAGUUCUUGGUAAAAUCCCUUUCGCAGAUUCCUUUGGUUCCAUGUUCAGAUCCAUCUAUCUUCUCUCCCUUUCUCGGAUUCGGAUUCGGGCCAGACGGAGGAAGUCUUUAUAAGAGCUUGCCGUGGAAGAAUACGCAUAAGCAUUAGUUCUUGCCCUUCCAGUGUAAGUGGCAGAUCAAACUUGAUCUAGUUCCACACAUUGCCUUUUCCCUUAUAUGUCGUGGCAGGCGAGCUCCCUUCUGGUAAAAAGGAUUUGAGUGGAAGGUUGAGCGCCCCUUAACGUUUAGAAGUAUCCUUUUCAACGGUUAGAAACCUUUCUAUUCUAUGACGGCUAAGUCGAGGGCAGACACAACAGGUCACGAAGAGCUAGAGGAUAUAGAAUUCCUAUUUACCGGGAACGGAAGGAAACAUCGGCUCUUCCGAGAUCUUAUGUAAGGAAUACUAAAAAAAGUAGAGCAAAAAGAUCUACAAAACUCUACAAGAAAUGUCUUUCCCGCAGAAGACUCUAACUCCUCAUAGCAUUACGUCAAUCUGCAAAUAUCGAAUGAUGCUUCGACAGAUUCAGUCAUCCAUUCAGCUUUGAAAUCGGAGACAAGGAAAACUUCAUAGAAGCGCCGCGGAUCAAUAUAGAGAUGCGAACCAAUAUCCUUUUCCUGGUGGGCUCUGAAGUACUCGUCUUUUGCGCAAGGCCUCGUGUCAAAAAACUUCCAACCACGUCCUCCUACCUCGCCCAUUUGCGGAGAUCAUCUACAUUUUGCUCCGUGUCGAGCUCCAGCCGGCCCAAACGUUUUCCUUCGGGAGGGCAUAAAAUCGCUUUCUUUCUGUAGGGAGGACGGAUGAUUCAAGUAAGGGCUGAGAGCCUACAUAUCACUGAGAUGGGCCAAGGAAGAAAAAGCACCUACUGUUCGUUAAUUUAAAUUCUCUUUGCUUAGCGCCCUUGUGUUUCGAAUAGAAAAGCACUGGAGAUAUCUGUGGAACUGUUGUUUUUCUUAGGGCAAGCUAGCAGAUAGAAGUAAUCUAUCUGGUUAGCCAGGCGAAGCAUUUAGGCAAAUGGUCCCCAGGGGAAGGAUAAAAUAAUCCUAGGUAAACAACAAUGCUUUCCGAUCGAAACACCCUUUUUUUCCUAUUUUCAAAUAGGCUUCCGGCCUACUCAAUCCUUUCCCUUUCCGCGUCUCCACAUUUCUCUUUUUUAAUAGCUCGUUAUUUUCCGAGGAUACGAAUCGAAAGGCAGUCUUCGAAUGUGCUUUGCCUUACCCGAGGAUAUUACCUUUUCUGCUUACCCGUACCAGUGCCAGAAGUCAUGGAUGCUAUUCCCACUGAGAGAUGUGCUGCAAAAGGGACAAUCACAUGAGAUUCAUGUAGUGCCUUACUUACAUGUUGAGAGAAAUCGAAUACCUAUUUGAUCUAGAAAGAGUGAGGUAAGGUCAAGUAUCUGAUCUCUAACCAACAUUUGGUACCUCUUGAAUGGGAUUUCUCGCAGACAUGAGCCUUCCUCAUCAUAUUUUGAUACAACAACUAGGAUUGAUGGCGAGCCUGGAAGCCUUGCUUCUCCACUGGGGGCUAAUUCCAUAAACAAGUUGUUCUAUCUCAAAAAUCAUUUUAGGAAUGAAUGAGAAUUUCGUUAGAUUUCGUAUACAAGGUAAUGCAUCGUACCUCCGUUAAAGGCUCAUUUUCUCCAAUCUCUGAAUUUCUGCGAAACGAAUUGGCAUAUAGAGAAUAGGUUUCUGGCAUGACCAAAAUGAACUUCACAGAUCCGAUACAAGAAAGGAUCGAUUCAAACAGCAAUUGUUAAGCGUCUCUGGAUAUUGUAGCAACCUACACGCCUGUCUAACCAAUGUAGUUCUGUCGUCAAGUUGCUCUGCUUGUUCGUUCUGAUCUUUCCAUUUCAUGUAAAGCACAGGAACGCGGUGGAUCGUACCCCCCUGAAACCUACAGAUAGGGAGCUCCCAAUAGAAGGGAGUAACCGAAAUCAAGCUUGCUCACUGAGCAUAAGAACAUUGAAAGCAGGCGGACUAUCAGCAGCAUUGCGAUUCUUUAUUUGGGCAAAGCCAAGGUAUCACUUCGGGAAGAAAUGCUGUUUCAAACCACAAAUGAGUUGGAAUGGUCAAUUUGGUUUUUCAGCUACUAGUACACUCGCUAUGAAAUCCUAGAUCUUCUUGUGAGCUGUCUCCACACCAUUGAGAAAUAUUUGGAUCAAUGAUAGCAGAGGCAGGCAAGAAAAGCUGCUCAAAGGGGACGGCACGAUGAUCGAGUUCGUGCUCGGGGAGUGCCAUGUCUAGCUAGUUCGUGCAGACACCCGCCCUUUCCAAUCAAUGGAGAAUGGUUACUAGAGCUAGCGCCUGUCCCACUUUAGAACACUAAGAACGUAAUAAGCCUAGCCGGGACAAAUGCACUCAGUGUUAGUCCGAUCACCUCGGCUAAAAUCAUCUUCCCUUUAUUAAUGACCAAGGGUAUCCAUAUCAUGAUAUGUAGAUACAAGAGGGCAGAGGCAUUGAUGCGGGUAGGAUGCGUGUCUGCUUUCCUGUUGUUUGAAGGAGUAGAUACAUUCAUUUCCUUUUGCCAGAGUGAGAGUGAGAGUUGUGUGGGAUGUUGACAAUCACUAUCUCGUCUAGUGACGAGUGCUAACCUUACAUGAAUCAUGCCAAGCACAGAAGAAAAAGAGGGGCUGGUCUUAACUGAAAGUUGUCCUUGUCCGGCUGAGGAAAGAAAGGGAUGACGAGACGGGGACCCAAAGGUUCCCGGUGAGGAGGCCCGAUGCAAUGUUAGAAACUGUUGUUCCAGUUGUUCCUGUCUGAUCCUUACGAAAGCUGGUGAAAACCUUUGUUCCUUGUUCCUCGGCCUUAGUUAGCAUUUUCGAACAGUGAAAUACACCUUUGUCCUGCGUUGCAUGGUGAGAGUGUGAAUGGAGGCAAAGCCAUGUAAGAAGACAAGAGACAACAAGGCUAUUUCAUUGGGAGACCCCAGUAUUUUGACUACAUUGGAUAGGUGAUAGCUCUUCUUCCUUGGUAUUGGUAACCUCAUCCCCCGGCGUUCUUUGCUCGCCAACUACCCUUAUUGUCGAAUGGACUUUCUAUUCUCUUUCAGAAUGAGAAUUCAUAGACUCUAAACGUUGUUGAAAACCUGUGUAUAAAGAAGGCAUCCCAAUAAACGUGGCUUCAUUGUUGCUUAAAGGGGAACCUGAAUCGAUCGAUAUCUUGUCAUGAGAAAGGCAUCAUCGAAUCAAAGCAACCCUGCUCGUUGCAUCUUUAUCAGAGAGAAAAUCUUGGAGAACACUUUGCAUUCCACUGCUUCGACCUUGAUUUCUUGGCUUUGAUGUUGUUAUCACAAUCAGGUUGCCAUAACACGCAUUGCUAUGUUGAGACAACAUGAUCUUGAAUCAGGAUUGGAUUGCCUUAUCUUAUUAGUAGGCUUCGGUUAAGUUCCCUUUUCUUUUCCCUGGGAAACGGUACCUGCAUUCCCGUGAGCUUUUCCUAUCCCAUUGCUCUCUAUUCUCUAAUUCCCUCAAUCCAAGUUUAUAUACCCUCUGAUUUGGGUAUCCAUCUUUUCUGCACUUGCCCUUUUCCCUUGUUUUCUCUACUUCCCAUUGGAGUGUACAUAUAUUAGAUAUGGGAUCUAUUUUCAUCAACCAGCAGCAGGAAAGCUAGCACAUUUACCUUAAUCCAUUUCCCUUGAGGAUCACAUUUAUCUACCGAUAAGUUUGAUGACUUCUCACUGUGAUGGCUUCAUAACAUACUUAGCAAACCUAGUAAGGGAUUUUGUACCUUAAUCUAGUGAAAGGUGCACAUCCAUCCGAUCCCUAAUCUAGCUCUCUGUGCGUCAGAAACCCAUUGUCAAAGAAACGGGUUGAUUCUUCGGUUCAAGUGAUGGUGGGGGAGAAAGAAGAGUGGGUAUGUAUAUUUCUGGUGCCAGUUGACUAGCUUGAUAGAAAGAGGAAUAUGUUGAUCUAUCAAAUCUAGAUUCUAUCAUUUGUGCCAUAGCUUUUCGAUGUUUAGUUAUCGAAGUCAGUAUCUUUUUCUCUCCUGGUUCACAAAGCAAGGUUUUUUCCUAGCGCAAAAUAGCUAGCUUGCCGGAAGUCACCUAGCUGGGCCACUGCCUGGAUACAUUACUAAAGCGAUUCUCUGGUUUUGCUUGCGGUAUAGGAACCCUUCCCGUAUAGGAACUACUGCCGAGGCGUACCGUUGUUUCCGUAGAGGAAGCCGCAUCCCCGAAGUGCACCAUUCCUUCGAUCAAUAGAAUAGGUUAUUUUCUGGUUGCCGUAUAGUUAUUGUUGGUAGGAGCCGAAACCCUGGAUAAAAACAAAAGGAACCGGAUUGCCGGUAAAUCUCAAUUUGCUCCAGAGUUUUUUCUAAUGACCUUUCCACACCUGUUGAAGGGAAUCACUCCUGGCAACUCCUAGAAUGCGGUUAGAACUUGUUUUUCUUCAGAAAUAUGGGGAAUCAGCCAUCGAACUACCACUGCUAUGAUCCGUCUUCGAUUCACCAGCAUCAGCUAUCUUAAAAUGGCAUUUUAGAAAGCAUCUCUUCCCUUGUUGGCUUGGGUUCCUACCGUUUACUAAUAAUAAGAGGAGUGGUGCCUUUAGAUUUCUUUUCUUGAAAUUAUGCAUCUCUCUUAUCAAGUGAUUUCUGACAUCACCCUGCUCGCGAACAUAGAUCCAGCCCUUCCUAUUGAGAAAAAACACCUUGUAUCCCCAGCUCAUUGUGAAUAAGCAGGUGAUACAUAGGAGUGAAGAAAGAAAUUCCCCGUGCCGCUUGCCGUUUCAGGUUCAAGGAAUGGGGAAGUGUUCUGUUGAGAAAUGUUUUUUUCACUCAUGGGCGUAAUUCCCUGCAUUGGUGUGUGAGAAUUCUAAAGCUAGCUUUAUGGGAGAGCAGGUUAGGGCGUACCCCCGGUGGAGCAUGUAGGUGGUGAAGGAGGAUAUCGUUCAGUGAUGCUAUGACUACUGACCAUAAAAGAAAGAGUUCUUUACGGCGCAGAUGUGCGUUAGGUUUCCUAAAAACGUUAUCAUUUCUAGUGGGGGAUCUCUAGGAGGGAGGGUUAUUUCUAGAAAAAACAAAUGGAUAUCCAUUCUAUCUAGCCGAGGGAUAUUUCCAGAAGGUAGGAAGUUUCUCCUUCCGGCCAAGGAGAAAGAGACAAGUUUCCACCUCAUCCGAGUUUUCUCAGUGACUUCCCCAUAGCAACGGGAGAAGUUUUUUCACCCUAAAGGAAAGGAAAUUCGAAGAAAUCAGAUCUUUCAGUGAAAUUAGCAUCUACUAAUCUAACUAGCGAACCAAUAUUAGUAUCAUUUUUGGGUUCUUACCUUUUAGUGACUCUUCACCGAGUGAUACACUACUACUUUUGGUUCGAGUGAUACACUACGGCAUGUUACGAACAUUAUCAAUCCUUGAAAAAAGGAAGAAAUGGCGAACGUACGCUAUCCAACAGAAGUCCCGACCGAUAUGACUAUUCCUAUCCUUUCAUCCUUAAGCGAAUGCUGGAACGAAAGUAAUCCCUCGAAGUUCAAUAAAAAGGGUAUUGCAAAUAAACUAAUUGUUUGCAAAAUACCACCUCCUCCUGUAUCUACUAUUGGUUUCCUGAAAAUCAACCAAAAGCAAGGGUAUCCUUCGUUGCACAUCUUCUGAAAAGAUAAGGGCUCGGUAUCGGCUCAAUCGAACAAGCUGAGGUAUAUAGGGAAUAGUAGAACAUAUUGAUUAUCCUAUUGGAUUGGUUCCGCUCAGUCGAGAUAUGAUGACUCAAUGGGCAUUGAGAGUUGAGAUGAAAUGCACUAUCGUUAUGCUUUGAGGUGAAGAGAUUUCGGUUUAUAUAUUAUUGAUGCCCACCUCUUUAUCCUUGUGAGCGAGGUCUGCCCUCUGGAUGGGUAGAGCGAGAGGGAUAGCAAGGACUUGAAAAGGGAAGGUUUUUUACGGCUAAGAUGUUUCAGUUCGCCCCGACAUGAAGCUACCACUUCUCUCCUAUUGUUUCAAGCUGUUAUCUCAUUGCCCCCUUUUAGUAGCACCUUUGACCUCUAUCGCUCAGAGCACAAAUCGUUGUGCUCCUCACUGCUCAAGAGACUUCUUAUUUUCUUCUUACCCUUCGAGAAAGAGGCCUUGCUUUCGCACAGGAAGGAAAGAAUUGACUCGGGUAAGUAAGCCCUAUUGGGGGAUUAAGGGCUCGAGUACGAUUAGAGCGCCUUUUUUUCUGCUGCGCAGGCUGACCAUUUUAAAUAGGGGGAAACAGGAGACUGUAGAAGAUGAAUAUGGCUAGUCUACUGCUACUGUUUGAUUGGCAAUCCUUAUACUAUAGGGAUGAAGCAAAGGAGCAUAACCUACCUGCAACUAUGCUUUAAAGCAAAGAAAUCUAUCGAAAUUCUCAUUCCAGUCUGAGGGGAUAUCUGAAGCUACCGAUCCGGGAUCUCACUCAAAUCCAAACCUAGCACUUUUGUAUUUAUUGCUUCUCCUUUUAGAAGGUCCGUAGCCGAGUAGAAGAGAAGAAAAGAGAUUUCCUUAUCUGCAUGCCAGCUUUCAUUCCUACUUUUGAUGAAAGAAAGGUCAGUUGCUGCCGACAAGUCGACUAAACUUGGUUUUCACAACUGUCACCUAUCUUUAAGCACCUUCUAGGCCGCUUCCCAACCUAAUGCAUUCAAGUCUGCCUUCGGUACUGGUACUUCGGAAUCAAGGGCCCAACAAGCGAUAUCAGGAGUCUUUGGCCGAAGAACUAGCGGAUAAGAAGGUUAUUCCAUAACUAUAUAAAAUCCAUAGUCACGCUCAGCAUGCGAAAGCUUGUAAAAAUGACAUCCCCUGCGAAAACCAAUAGGAUUUGUUGGGCCAUCGAACACUAGUUUCUGGUUUCUCAAGACCUUGAGGCAAGGGCAGUUACGCAACAUUUUCUCAAUAUUGAAUGUGCAUUUUUCCCGCAUUUUUUCGAUUCCACUUCUGUAUCAGAAAUUAGUGUCAAGGGAUGGAGUUCCUGUUUCGUUAACUAAGUCUCGCGUUGUUUGCUUGAGGAAGGGACGGCCGUAGCUAAAUUUCCAUUGCUAAUCUUACAUGUUCCCACGAACAAUAAAGAAAAGAAGAAAAGGCUAUUCCUUAGACACAGAGGUGGGAUUAAGGCGUCAUGCGGAACUCCAACAACAUAGACCAGAUGACUUAUUUAUUGAAAAUAGGUUUAGGAGCCUGAUCCUGGAGCUGAGCAAGCAUGGGCGCGAUCCACAUCGAGUGGAACUACUAUAACUAUAUCUGUGGAAGGAAGGUUGAACCUUCACCGAAUCAUAGUUAGGUGGCACCCAUUCCGCAGUGGGCCGACGUCACACUGCCGCUUCAAUAGCUAGCGGGUAAUAAUCAGAAAGUGAAUCAUCAACCACUCAUUUAGAAGCCGCUCAUGCAACAACGUUUAAGUAAAUCCUUCCGCCCUUAUUUUCUUUAGUCUAGUUGUUGGAGGAAAUGCGCCUUGAACACAUUACGUAUACUAGCUGAGCUUUGUCCCUAAUCGUGACUAGUUGUUAUUCGUUUCGAUCAAUUUUCCCCCCAGCCGGCAAUGCCUCAGCUUCUCAAAAUCUAGGAAGCUCUGAAAAAAAGUCAUCAUUAUGAAAAGAUACUAGCGCUACUAAUAAGGGAAGCUACUUUUUUCUAAGAAAGGAAUAAAGCAGAAAACUAAAGAAAGAGAUCUUAAGUGGGUCCCGCGAGUAGUUUGUCUUGUUUCAGUCCGUACAAGAAGAUACUUUCAGGGUUGCCCAAGAAGGGACGGGCCUAUCUAUUGGUGGUACUAGUUCCGCGGGAGGGGCAGGAUUUCGGUGCCGUCAGCAUGGGUCCGGCUAUCGAUCACAAGGGUCUAGAUACGGGUCUCGAACGGAAAAGUAUGCUACAUAUUGCUCUGCUCCAGUUCCCUCUGCUUACACCUGGUCAAUUCGUUGAUCGCCCCUUUUAUUUCUGAUUUUCAAAAGGGCCCCGCUCUCGUCUCUGCUGACGAAGCCUUUAUCUCUGUCUCUGUUAUCCUCGUACCUGCUGAUCUCUUCGACUGAUAGAGUCUAUGCUAUUGGUGAAGCUGGUUCUACCUCAACAACAGGAUCUGCAAAUGGAUUUUCAACUAACAGCCUCUGCUUCAAUUUGUGAUGAAAGGUCGACUAGUUUUCACCGAAUCUUCAAUUACGCACCGGUAACUUUUUUCCAUUUCCGAGGUCCAGAGGGGAAGACGAAGUACAGCCUAGUUCAGAGAGUCACGAUUGAAUCCAGGUUAAUUCAGCAGCAGCUAGAGCAAUACUCCGAUAUUGAUUUGAUUCUCCGCUACCCACCAAGGUAGAAGACUGCUUGAUCCGCAAAAGAAGUAUGCUUUAUUUGCUUAUUGAACAAAAGUAUACGCUUUUUCAGGGAAAGAUAGACAGUCUAUCAUAUGGAAUAGGGCAUUCAGCAGUUUGAAGAGGUAGCCUUUUUCAGUAGCAGUCUUGUAAGCAAGCGCCGUACGUUCAAUCUAUACUGGCGAGAGUCUUUCCUCUUUUAAUACAAAGCCUGAGCGCGUUGCAUGACUUAAUGCCAGCUCUUUAUCAUACAUCUUCUGUAGAACCAAUAAAUAUAAGGGAUAUGUGUUAGCACAUCUUGUUCGUGCUCUGCACCACGUUUUUCCUGUAUACCGGCAGCUAGCAUCCCAUCAGUAACCUACGGGCGAGAUUUCUUGAGGGGGGCUGGCCAUGGUUUUUUAACCCACCCUUUCAUUCACUUAAGACCCAAAGCAGAAAAGGUUUGCAAUCCAUAUACUGGAAUUUGGUUCCACCGAAGUACAAGGACUAAACUGGUCGACUCCACCGCAGGGUGCGAGAUGUUGAGCUUCCUCGACGCCUACUCUGGGUAUCAGCAAGUCUAUAUGGCUGAGGAAGACAAAGAAAAAACUAGUUUUAUCGCCCCUUCCUUCUGCUACAAGCGGAUGCCCUUCGGUUUGAUAAAUGCCGGCGCCACAUUUAAGCGCCUAAUGAGCCUCAUCCUCAGGUCUCAGUUGGGUCGUAAUGCAGAAGUGUACGUUGACGACGCCGUCAUCAAAAGCCGCUUGGCAGGGACUCACCCCAAAAACACCUCUUUUUUUGCAUCUGCUGAGCAGAACCAAUUACCAGAUCCUACUUCUAAGCUCUAUGCUCUACUUCGGCCUUGCUCUCACUUAUGGGUAGGAAGGACAAUAAGCAGGAAUUCAUGUUGGCUAACUAUUCUAUCCAGGCGGAAGUAGUUUUCAUAGGAAAGAUGGAAGGUUUUGCGCGUUGGUUGUAUCGAAUUUCCCUUUCUAAUAGCAUACACAAAUAGAUAAGAAAGUUACGACGAUGAUAAGGUAAAUCAAAGGUUUUCAUUUACGAUUGACAUUUUCAGUCAGGAUAGCUCAGUUGCGGCUUUCAAUUCGUAAGCACGAGAUCGAACAGGAUUCGUCGUACCUUGUUUCUAAGUCUCCAACCCUUUCCUUGGUUCUCCGAAUCGUACGUUACUAUCGGCCCAAAACCCUGGUUGGCUGCCGUGCCGGGCCUAUUGGCAGAGAGACAAGCUCUUGUGUGUUGAGCAAAAAGUAUAGAGAUUCCAUGCCUUAUACAAACAAAUAGCAUAUAACCUAGAAGAUUUUGUGACUACGAGUUGCGAUCGAUAAAGCGGCGGAGCCGAGGUAAUGGCUAUGGCUGCGUGCAACGGCCCAGUGGGGCCUGUAGGACCAUAUGUCACUGCUUAAUAUCUAUUUUAGGGCAUGGGUUUGAAGGGGUCGUGGGCGAUUCCCCGAAAGGUGUGGAAAGUCAGUUAUAUGCUCGAUUUGUUAACGAAAAAGAGCUCUUCUCUCGAAAAAAAGAAAUAGAAACGAUCUUGGUCAAGAGUGAGCUGCGCUAUACCCGUGCGAAGGAAGGAACGGACUUCACUCAUAAACAGCUUCCGCAAUGGAACCGGUCCCAGACAAUAGGUUCUCGUCUUGAACAUAAAGAGGGCAGGCAAGAAGAACCUCCACCAAGUUUUUGAUUCUUGGUGAUUUGACGGUAUCAAUGUCCCUCUCCCUUUUGGGGACUGGGAUGGCGUCCUUUCCCCGGCAAGGUGUCUACUAGGGGGCCGAAGUCAACCCGUCUUCAUUAACGUAGGCACAGCAUCAUCAUUUACGAUAUUAUUGGAGCUUUUUCUGUUUCUUUCUGGGCCAUGCACCGACCUACGUCCAGCUUUUGUUUAGCAAGCCCUCUAUAUGUCUUUGUUACCUCCAAGCCUCCCCGAUAUCAGAAUAAUUCUUCUUCGAAGUGUCAAAUCCUAACUAGGCGGAUAGAUAAGUUUUAUUUCGCACACGGGUGGGACGUACAGGAACGCUUGCUUAGGCUUUGUGCGUAUCCCUCAUAGCAAUCUUUCGGAAGCAGCUCUGGAAACCUUUUUUAGUGCAACGGUUUAAGAAGCGCGAAGGCUAAUAACAGUUGAUGGAAUGAUCGCUCCAUGGACCAGAAAGAACCUUGGUAAUUGUACCCACGAGUUAUUUUGCAUAAUAAAACUCGAAUUUCACCUGCUGCUAAGGACAAGAUGAGCUAAUAGAAAAAGUUCGGGCUUACUACUCCUGGGGCUAGGGGACUGGUAUCUACAUCCGAGGCCACAGGCAGUUGUUCCUGCUGUGGGUCCAGAAUUGUUGUAUAAUGGCUUAGACUAAAACAGCACCGAGACUAAACUAAGAGCUGAGAGUCCUAACUCAGUAAAGUACUUAUAGGAUUUAAAACAUUACCUAUUACUGCAUUAUUUGUUGCUGCGAGUCAAGAAAAGAAAGUGUGGAGCUCCGUGAAGAAGCAAGUUCAAUUACUCAAACGUUGGAACUAUUGUAAAACACAUUCCGUCGCCCAAGUCAGAUCAUUGCCUACUGGCCACGAGGCUUAUGAGGCCAGCGGAGGAGGUGGAGGGAAACGUAUGAGAUGAGGGAUUUGGACUUGCUACACUUACCAGAUGUGAGGUAGUUAAAUGCUUUCCUUCCAUAGCGAACUUUCCCAUAGCCGUAGUUCCAGUCUGACUCUCCGAAGCCUAUGACCAAGAGUAAGGGCACUCAGCAGGCUGCACCGAUUAGAGAGAGUACGUCGUCUAUUCAUUCCACUCAUUCCUUAACGUCCAAAGCUCAGAAUUCAUAAAGUUAAUAGGUGGGUAGGUGUUCUUAGGUUCGUAACAUGCCUUUCUUUCUCGGAAGCCUUGUUGAAUUAAUGGCAAGGGAGAUAUUAGCUUAAUGGCUUGGGGUAAGAUGCUAUGCUUGAGUCAGCGGAAAUCAUUUAUGACGAAGAAAAUAAAUCAUAGGCCUCUCCUGUAGCCGGGUAUGAGAGGUCUAGUUCGGUGAGAAUAGAUAGGGAUAGAAAGACCAUCCUGGUGCACAUGCUAUGGGUCUUAUUGUUUGUUGGUAAAGCAAGGAAGACUAGCUUUGGCGUGGGAAGCUUACCAAUUGAUGCGGUGGCUACUCGAUCGAGAAGAAAGAGCAGUUGUUACCCGCCUCCACUAUUAAGCAGCAUGAGCCACUAGACUGACUCGAUAUCCGUGUGUGGAUCCGCCCGAAGGCAGUCGAUUGGAAAAGAUGAAGACAAGGAAGAGCCAUUCUUCAUACAUAGGAGCGAGUGGUCGAAAUGGAAAGCGGACAAACGGAAUUCUGUACAACUAUAGGGUUCGGUUCUUUCUUCUGUCCCAGGUCCUUUCUUCUCUUGCGGAUCUUUCUUUGAGAGAUAGACGCUGUUCUCUGCCAUACUGUGGCUGUGCACUUUAGCACUUCUUCUUUCACUUGGUUUUUCUUCCUGAAGUUGGCUCGAAGACCUGUCCAGCCUUGAUUUUCCCAGUUAUUACUCGAGCGCGCUGAGGCAACUCUGAACUAAGCUCAGGGGAGGGGUAGUAGGUAUGCUUCAAACCCUCCGGCACCUUGAAGAACGAUGGCACUAGAUCGGGAAAGAUGAAUGACCAAUGAGGACAGGACAAUGGGGGAAGUUGGUAAUAGAGAAUCCUCCCUUCUUCUUUGCUUUCUUGCCUUAAAAAAUCCAAAACUAACCAUUGGAACCUCAUGGGCUACCGAGUUAGGAGAUUCAUUUUAUUUAUUACUUUGACUUUUUUUUUACUAAGUUAUUCUAAAAGAUAAGAGCUAACCGACCAUCCUGAUUGAAUGUUUGAGUACUCGGAGUCUCUCGUAAGUAUGGAAAGAAAGUCUCUUCUUUCCACAACUCCUAAAUUUCCCAUCAGCCUAUCCAAUCUAAUUCCAGACAGAGUCAGUAGACCUUACUUUAGUGUAGGUAGUGUCAGAUAAUUAGGAAGUCUUGAUAGUCUUUCGUAUAAUCUCUUCUUCAAUCCUAGGAGCAAAAAAGGAAUGUCCUUUAGGGACCUUUGGAUACCAAGAUUUCCGACCUCUUACUUUCGUAGUUAUGAAUUGCGGAAUAGAAUCAAUUAUGAAAUUAAUAAGUAUAUAUCCCUCAUCCCUAUUGGUAUCGGUAUCGGUUUGGGCCACUACCCAGAACCCUGCCAGAGCCCUAUUUUUAAGAAGAAAUUGACAGUCUUUUUUAGAACUAGAACUAUGGUAAAAUCCAGUAUCGACAGGCCUAGUUCUUUUCCUUUGCUUAUGCAGGGCAAGAAUUUGUCGAGUUCAAUCAGUACAAUAAGAAAUCCUAAGUAUUUUUUUGGUCAGGCGACACCCAGAUUUGAACUGGGGAUAAAGGAUUUGCAGUCCCCUGCCUUACCGCUUGGCCAUGCCGCCAAAUCCGAUCCAAAAUCGAGCAAAAUCUUAUUCAUCCACAUUAUUUUACUAAUUAGUAUUCGUAGGAGGGGAUUAUUAAACCCUUUUUGAUUUUUUUUAGAUCGUUGAAUCCCUUUGUACUUAUCCCUUUCCAAUCCCUUUUAAAAAAUUCAUUCCUGUUUUUUAUUGGACCCAGUUUUAUUCUCUUCGAUUGAUUGUAUCUCAAAACACACAUUGCUUAAAUACCUUCUCUUUCUAUUGAAAAGAGAAAGGAUUUCCAGUCACAGACUGCCAAAUUUAGGAAAAAUUGGAACCAUUAACUAUAUUAUUUGUUAUUAUUUGUUAUUUUGAUAUUUUCUAUUUGUUAGUAGUGAACGGUUCUAAAAUGGGUAUUGUAUCCCAAAUAGUGUUUCCUUAAUGGCAUAACAAAAUCAAAUUGAUUUACGGCUAAUCAGUAUCAAUUAAAAAAAAGAGAAUUAUGAUAUUGAUAUAGUGUGACCUGACCCCUGUUGCUCCAAGUGAAAUUCUUUCUAGGGUUCUUAAAGAUAUUCUCCAUUUUUUCCCUUUCCCUACAAUAAAGUAUAGUCUGAAGGCUAGCACGCACCAUUCCUCGCUUAUGAUAAUCUAAGGCCAAAAAGAAAGAAGGCUCACACCAUAAUAAUACAUACCCUUUUUCCUCGAUCGUCAAGGUCGUGGAUUUGGAUCGAUUUCGGUUUUACGGGCUUCAUACAUUGUUAAGAAAAGUACUCGGCAUUGGAAAGCAUCACGUUCUGGCCACACACAAAAGAAGUCGGUGGAAGGUAUGGAAUUUCUCGGCUGAAGGUCAGAAAGAAAGCAAUCGCCAGUGCUCUCGGUUCCAGCAACGAGUCUUUUCUCUGAGAAUUAAGGAAAACAAACUAACCUUGUCUGUCUAUGUUCACCUUGACAUGAAAGACUCUUUUCCUAACCUGACUGUUCUACCUGGCUAGUUCACUUCACUUUUCGAGGGAUCCUGGAUUGGAGUUCACUUGUCUAUGAGUGUCCGAACAGCUUCAGAUCCUUCCAAGGCGCAGGGGUUCUCUCUCCAUUCACUUUGAGCUGGGUUUCUUGUGAUCUUUGUAGUAGUUUUUCCGUCCAAUUUUAUGGUAAAUUAAGUCUUACACAGCUGUCCCCAAGGAUGUCCAUUCCAUUCGGCAGGGACUCCAUCUCGCAUUCGAUCUCCCUCCUUUCCCUGAAAGAGUCGAGGUCUCUCUGGACUUCUCUUUUGCCUCUCUCCCAGAUUCAGAAAAAGGGAGGAAGAGGGCCUCUCGACGGGAGUGAUUCCCCGAAAAGAGAUCGUUCCCAGCAUCCUCGAGUUCGUAGUCAAACUCACCUUCAUCCACCUUUCAUGGACUGGCGCGGGCAAGCGCCGAUGUCUGGAGCAGGAGAUGGAAGCUUGGGUUGAGGAGGCUGUCAACGAGUCAUCAAAGGCGAUAGAUUGGUUAUAUUCGGAUUCGUUUGAUUUUUAUUUUCUUUUUUUUGGUUGUGAGAGGUCUGAGUCCACAGCUGGGGAAGAGUCGUCAGAUGACAAUUGAAGUAGGGGUCUGCCUCUUUCAAAGGGAAGCAAGAGUCUCAUAGGGAAGGAGAUCCUGCACAGACCAAUCCCAAUCAGGAAGAGAGUCUUGUUGUCAAUGAAAGCUAUUUUUCUAUGUCACAUAUCUGCCUAUCUCGUGUUGUGAGCUAUAAAGUACCCACCAGGGGGGGGUGGACCAAGAAAGAGGCAGGCGAUUGGGUCCUUCCCAUCCUCUGUGAUGUCAGUCUCUUUGUCAUUCUUUCACCCUUGCUGAGUAGCGAAGUGAGCAUACUCAAGAUCCAAUUCAUCAAUCAUUUGAGUUGGUACGAACAUAGGAAUCCAGACUCCGCUUGAUUCGAUCUUCAGUUUCGACCUUCAUCAGUCAGGAAAAAGAAGAAGGACCCACUUAUUCCACUCGGAGAGACCGAACCAGGCAACAAAAAAAAAGAAAAACUGAAGGAAGUUCUCUUUCCAUUCCAACUAAACUAAGUGAAAAAAGGGGGAGAGCAAAACAGAAACACAGGAACAAAGAAACUAUGUCCAAACCAACGAGUCCUUUGGUCGACUCUAAAGAAUGUAUCGGGAGUUGGGAGUUAGCCGUCUCAUAGGAGUGAUAGCUGGGUUUUUCACGGAGUUUCUUCGUACGAUUGAAAAAAGAGUGCUCUAGGUCGGAGAAAACAAGAAGAAGAUUGUUCACCAGUCUGUCUCCCAACCUCUUUAAAGCAGCUACCUACCGUGAUCUGGUCUUGGGACAGCAUUGGCACCCCCGUUUGCUGGAUCUUCUAGGCACUCUAAAGCGCUUCCACGAGAGACAGAUGGACUUUGAGUUAUAGACGGAGAAGAGCCUUUAGAGGAUCAAGAGUGAUUCCUCAAUAAAACAAAUGGGAUUUUGAGGGAGGGCUGAACGCGAUGUACUGAAGGGUUCGCUUUCGCUGAUCGGCGCCAGUCUUUCCUGCUGUGAAUUUCCCAGGUCGGGAGGGGCCCUUUCCUUCUACCUUACUGAACCCAUUCACCAAUGAUUGGAUCACUCAAAGCUAAAGACCAAUUCCUUCCUUUUAGGUGGUCUAGGUGGCUGGGAUACUAUGCCCUUCUUUUUAGAGGCUCAAAGACGAGUUCUUUGAAGGAAGCAAAAGAACCCAUGUGUCUCGGAUGAAGUCUACCCUCUUUUUGUGCCGGGAAGAAGAAUGAGAUCCAACUCAAAGUCAAGGAAAGCGGCCUAGACCACUGACUUUUGAUGGAAGGCUUCUGAACAUGGAUUGGUCUGAUAAAGCCAAUUUUUCGGCGAAUCAAAUAUUUUCUGAGAGCACUAGACCUUCUCUCUUUCAGGAUUGAUUCCCACUCACUGCCUGAUAGCAGGCUUGGCCCAUGAGACCUAUUGUCUUAUUGUACUGGCUCACUUCACUACUUUGGAGGAUGGGUUUUUCCCCUUUUUGGUUCGCAAACGCUCUAACCCAUCGAGAAGCUCCAUCCAAAUUGGAGUUGAUGUGAGCACUUCCCCAGAGGCAGAGGCUUUUUCUACAAAAGGGUGGGAGCAUAAAAUGUAGGUGAGUCAAUUGCGUGUGGCCUUCAAGUAUUUCGUAUUGUAACAAUAUUAGAUCGGCAUCCAAACAAAGGUGCAUGUACGGUUCCUAAGGGAUACAAUUUUGUCCUAAUCAUCGAGAAAGAUUAAAUAAGUUGAUAGCGCGAUCUCGUACUAACACAUACUCUCUAAAUAUUGAAGAACUUGCAUGCGGCCUUCAAGCCACAACCGCGGUAUGAGUUCUGAUCUCAGACUUUGGUUUGGGGGCUGCUGGCCCCUUCGCGUCGACAAGGAAACUGUGGACGACAAUGGGUUUAGAAUUAGAAUAAAACGAAGACCCUAUCGAACAAAUAGAGGAAAGGGCGGAAAGGGGAAAAAGUAAAGUCUAAGCGACAUAUGGCACGAAAAGGAAAUCCAAUUUCGGUAAGACUUGAUCUGAAUCGUAGUUCAGAUCCAAGUCGGUUCAGUGAGGGCGACCGCGAAAGUCACCGAAUGGGUUCGGUCCGUCUUUUCCUGAUCUUUGUUUGUCCCCCCAAAAAAGGCGUGAGAGGACGUUGCAGAUGUCCGGGACGGACACGACUUCUUCUAACGCUAGAAGACCACAGGAAGAAACCCGGGACCAGAGCAUGUCGUGAAAGACGCACACGGGGCGGGCGUGCUUCGACCGUGUCUCCGGGGCACAGUUGAAUGUAGAUAUCAUGAACGCGAGGAUAAGGAUACCAGGCCGAGAAACCCGGGCAAGUACUCCCCUAAUGUGCCGAUCGCUAGCGCAUCCAGGGCCCCGGCGCCCAGCUCUGCUGGAGAGGCCGUCACUGAUCUGAAAAGUGCGUCUGCGGUUCGGAUAGACUGAUUCUGCGAACGCCUAGCCCCAGGAAUCAAUAAAAAAACAAGUGCUAAGUUUCAUUUCAGAUCAGUGAAUAAACCAAAAAAGAGACCUUUCUCGCUCGACGCCACACUAUGCUCCGCUUCAACAAAUGAGAGUUUUCGGUGGAACCGGUGAACCACGCGAGCUGGUUAGAUGCGUGGGGCAGAGGGCUCGUAGUACCUGAUAGCGCAGCUAUGCAGUGGAAGGGAAGGAGCCUAAAUCGACCCCCUUCUUUCUUUUUUAUUCAAAGACACAAAAGCAAGCACAGUACAAAGAGAUUGGACUCUCGGAUGAGACUAAGCAGCUACCGUUCCGACGCGCCCCUGACCCUAUCUUGAUUCAAACCGAAAACCCUCUCUAAGGUGGAGCCUAGUUGAAGCUGUCAUUCAAAGAAAAAAUGGGAAUCCAAAUCCACUUUUAGGGAUAUAGAUGAAGUCUCGCUCAGUAAAGAGAGUUGUAGAUUCGUAGAAGAGGAUCAGAGUACGCGCGCUACAAAAGGCAGCUAGCCAAUGAAAGUAAGUGGAAAGAAUAUAGUACUUUUGUACUGACCCCUCCGGGGCCCCCGGUUGUUUUGGCGCGCCCUACCCCAACGUUAGACUAUUGCCUUUUUAGCCUACGCUUGCUGCUUGCAGCAUGGAUUCGAUAGAUCUAUCGAAUCCAUGCUUCCCCCGCCCCGAAGCGAGACUCUAUCCAGAUCUCAAAGAAUAACGAGCUAGGCGGCCGGCGGGCAAAGAAAGGGGGCGGGGCGUUUACUUUAAAAUGACAACCGCCUGUUCCAGCAGCGGGGGCCUUGCACGAAAGCAAACCUACGAUUAAGUAGCAGUUGCUUUCGCUGAUGGGCCCAGUGAGGGGGGCAUUGUCCCUCAGUUCUUACCAACCUCAGGUGUGUACAUCUAACUUAUUAUCUUCUUUUUUCAUGCAAGCCUGACCUCAGCUGUCCAUUUCUUAUUCAUUCAGGGCGCCCCUAGUGGACUUGGCGGUGCUCCUUUCUCAAACCAGAACAACUCUGAACGUUAGGGAAAAUAAGGGAAGACCACCUGAGCGAACCGACCGAAGGGACUUUACUUAUCCGAACCGAACGUUAGCGGCUUAAGCUAAGCCUAUCACGAGCUGCGUUGCUGCUUGAUCGGCGGGGAGGAAGAUCUCAAAGUAUGGGGCAAAGGAUCAAGCGCUUUGACUUUGCUUUGUCCCCCGGGAUCCACCACAGGUUGGGUUUGAGAGCCGUGUGAUGGGUGACUAUCUAGCACGGUUCAGAGAGCACGUGUAUGUAGUCUGCGCUGGUGAAUGGAAGCCCCCGCCGCAAAAAAGAAGCGGCUCUUCCCACGGCUCUGUCACCAUUGACUCUAUUUAUUAUUAUGGUAAAUCAUUGUAUCAAGAUGUCAAUCUUAGAUCUUAUUUUAGUUCGAUACGUCCACCUACGAAACUCGCCUUUGGCUUUCGUCUCGGUAGGUGUAUUAUUCUACAUUUUCCCAAAAGGACAUUCAUUCAUUUCUUUCUUCCCGGGCGAUCACCACGACUAAAACGAAAACAAGACAAGAAAUCAAGACCCGUACUACAGGAAAAGGGCUGGUGGCCGACAUUUGGGAAAGUCGGGCCGAUCGGGUGUCUUCAUUCAAGCGAGGGUACAGAGGAAGAACGAAACGAAGUGAGAGGCCGGGGGGCAGGGAAAAGAGUCGAGUCGAUCGACCGGGAGAAGCAAAACGAAAUCCGGAUUUGGCCGAAAAAGAUGCAACGUUAUGGAUACCAUGACCGAUCACCAUCGAGAAAGAAGAAUUUUGAUAAAUCACUUCGGGUGAGCGGGGCCUUCAAGCGGCCUCAAUACGCCGGGGUUGUAAAUGACAUACCUUUCCUUAUGGGAAAUGCCGCCUCCUUACUAAAAAGGAAUAGAAUCAAGUUAUUUUUACCAAAGAAGUCCCGCUCUGACGGCCCGACGAGUCAUCUACUAAAAAGGACCCUCCCCGCUGUGCGCCCCUCCUUGAAUUAUUCGGUCAUGCAAUACUUUUUUAAUACUAAGAAUAAAAUGCAUUUCGACCCCGUCCUAAUUCUCAAUCAUUUCGUGGCACCGGGUGUGGCUGAACCAUCUACGAUGGGGGGAGCGAAGGGAGGAAGCUUAGAUAAGAGAAUACGCUCUCGCAUCGCUUUUUUUUUAGAAAGCUCUACCAGCGAGAAAAAGUGUUUGGCCCGAGCCAAAAAGAGGUUGAUCCACUUCAUUCGCCAAGCGAAUGAUCUUCGCUUCGCGGGAACAACAAAAACCACCAUAUCGCUCUUUCCUUUCUUCGGUGCUACCUUCUUUUUUCCAAGGGAUGGGGUUGGGGUGUAUAAUAACCCUUUUUUUGAGUAUGCCCGGGAACAACUCCUAGCUCAAUUUAGGAUCAAAUGUAGGAACCUCAUGGGUAAGGAUAAGGUAAUGGAAUUGAUAGAGAAAUUCAUAGACCUAGGUAGGAUAGGCAAAUUGAUAAAGGGAAUAGAGAUGAUGAUAGAGAUCAUACUGAGAAAGAGGAUAAUUCCGUACGGGUACAACUCUUAUUUGAACGAAGUGCAAAAAAUGCGAUCUUUUUUGUCUAAUAGAACAAACACUAAUACCUUAAUUGAGUCGGUAAAGAUCAAAUCUGUUUAUCAAAGUGCUUCUCUGAUUGCUCAAGACAUCUCUUUUCAACUGAGGAACAAUCCAAUCUCAUUUCGUUCCAUUUUUAGUAAAAUAGUGAAGGAUAUUCCAUUAAUAAUGCCAAAAGGGGUGGAGGGGAUACGUAUUUGUUGUUCUGGUCGAUUAGGGGGUGCGGAAAUAGCUAGAACUGAAUGCGGAAAGUAUGGAAAAACAUCUUGUAAUGUAUUUAACCAUAAAAUCGAUUAUGCUCCUGCGGAAGUAUCUACUCGUAACGGAAUUUCAGGUGUCAAAGUGCGGAUCUCAUAUAGUAAAAAUAAGAAGGGACGUGCUAUAUCCGAAACGUACGAAAUAUAGUAAAUAUUUUAAAUGCAGAUGUAGUAGGGGUCGCGAACCGGAUGGUACACAACUUGGUUUUGGAAGAUAUGGCACCAAAAGUUGUAGAGCUGGUCGUCUUUCAUAUCGAGCCAUUGAAGCAGCGCGUCGGGCUACAAUCGGACAAUUCCAUCGUGCUAUGAGCGGACAAUUCCGAAGAAAUUGUAAGAUAUGGGUAAGAGUUCUCGCAGAUCUUCCUAUUACGGGGAAACCCGCAGAAGUUCGAAUGGGAAGAGGAAAAGGAAAUCCGACGGGUUGGAUUGCUCGUGUGUCCACGGGACAAAUCCCAUUUGAAAUGGAUGGUGUGAGUUUGUCAAAUGCUCGACAAGCCGCUAGAUUAGCGGCGCAUAAACCAUGUUCGUCAACCAAGUUUGUUCAGUGGUCGUAACGUAAUUGGUUAGUGGGGAAAAACCGGGCCGGGACUCAAAAGAAUUUGGCGAAGUGUUUGUUCCUGAACGAGGGAAGUGGAAAGACAAAGAGGGAUAGGGAGCUCGCCUCCUUCUUUUUUGUAAUCGCCGAAAUUGUACGACGACCCUUCUUGUUCCAGGCAUACGACCCUGAGACGUGACGGUGUCACUUUUCCGGCCCGGUAAAGUGACAGUUAUAUAAAUAAGAAUAAGAAAGAGAAGCGUGAUGUUGUCGUGUUGUCAGCAAUCAAAUUCUCGUAAAUAGAUAGUACGGUUGCGUUGUUUCAAUUUCUGUUCGUACUCUGAUUGCUGUGGCUGCAGCUCGAUCUUGGCAAAUCUCUCAAAUGGAUGUCAAAAAUGCUUUCCUUCAUGGUGAUCUACAUGAGUUUUUUCUAUAUGCAGCCACCUCUGGGUAUUGAAGUCCCUGAUGGUCAUGUUUGUCGCCUUCGAAAGGCCCUCUAUGGGAAAAAAGCAACCACCUCGUGCUUGGUUUGAGCGGUUCAGCUCUGUGGUUCAAGCUGCUGGUUUCUCUUCUAGUGAGCAUGACCCUGCACUUUUCACUCAUACAUCUGACCGCGGUCGUACCUUGCUUCUUCUCUAUGUUGAUGAUAUGUUGAUCACUGGAGAUGAUCAGAAGUACAUUGCUUUUGUUAAGAAAAAGUUGAGUGAGCAAUUCAAGAUGUCAGAUUGAUUUUCUCUCAGUUAUUUUCUGGGAAUUGAGGUUGAUCAAACUAAUGAUGGUUACUAUCUCUCUCAGCAUCGCUAUACUCAGGAUUUGAUCUCACGCUCAGGUCUUACUGAUACACACACUGCCGCUACACCCAUGGAGCUCCAUCUCCAAUUGCGCCCUAGUGAUGGUACUCCUCUUGAGGGAUACCACUCGCUAUCGUCAUCUUGUAGGCAGCCUUGUGUACCUCACUGUGACCCGGCCUGACAUUGCUCAUGCAGUCCACAUUGUCAGUCAGUUUGUCAGUGCUCCUACUUCAGUUCAUUAUGAUCACUUACUUCGUGUUCUUCGGUACUUGAGAGGCACAUCAUCUCGCAGAUUGCACUAUGUGAAAGCUCUAAUCAACUUCAGCUUCAUGCUUAUUCUGACUCAACUUGGGCGAGUGAUCCUGUUGAUCGUCGCUCUGUCACCGGUUAUUGUCUCUUUCUUGGCACUUCUCUCAUUGCAUGUUUUUCCAAGAAACAAACAUUUCUCGUUCUAGUGCUGAAGCUGAGCUUCGUGCCAUUGCCACUGUCACGUCACAGCAGAGAUCGUAUGGCUUCGAUGGCUCCUGGCUGAUUUUGGAGUUUCGUGUGAUGCACCCACAUCUGUUCUUUGCGAUAGUACUGCCGCUAUUCAGAUUGCCAAUGAUCCAGUCAAGCAUGAACUAACCAAGCAUAUUGGUUUCGAUCACGUCUAUCCGAAGUCAAUAGAGCAAUUUAGAGCGUAGCGAAUAGCUAACCUUUCCUCGGGGAGGGAAGGGAGAUAUGAGCGUAGCGGUAUCUUUUGCUAAUGAAAUGAGAUUGGAUAUGAAUGUGGAAUUCAUUGAGUGGAGAGAUGAACUAAUCUAUACUCUGCCUGUCUUCCAUUUCUCUGAAGAUUUCGUUUACAACACAACAUCAAACUCCAAUUUCAUGAAUUGAUAGGUAAGGAUCGCUGUCGAACAGCUCUUCUUCAUUUCUUCUGGAAUUCUUUCUUCUAAGGUAGUAGGUAUCGGGUUUCCCUGUUCAUACUCCGAACAUGAGUUAAUAUACUCUUGUAGAGCAGAUCACUUAGGGCUUUAUACUGGUUCGACGACUGGGUUCUUGUUCCUUUCUCUUCUUUGUCUGUCCACUCCCUUUGUUUUCAACAGUCUUUGGAGCUUCUGAAGAUUCUGCCGCAAGAUCCAAGCGGUAUCGUCGGUGCACCACCGCGUCAACCAGCACCACAGCUUCCUACAACUGGGAGAGAGCCGCAGGGCACCCCCACCCACUCCUGUGUUUGAGGAAUUUCAUGAAUCUAAUGCUGAAGGGCGUGGAUGCCGAAGAUUUCUUUUCCUUGAUUUGAUGGCACGGAUGUUCGCAUCUGGGUUGACAAGUGCGAAACCCUCUUUAGGAUGUACCAAAUCACUGCACUGAGUGAGGUUUCAAGGCUCCGAACAGAGCUGUUACUGUUACAAAGUACAAGGAUCAGCUUUUCUUCCCUUCCGGCGAACAGAAAAGAGAGAUACGAAGGAGUAAUGACGAAAGGUUGAUUGUUCGUAUGUUCAGUGAUGGCGAGCCUUCAACCAAUAAAAAAUACCUUAAAGAAGAUGCGUAGGCCUGAAAUCAUGGUGCAAUGAAUAUCGUAGAUAGAGUGAUUUCGAUCUCAUAUAGCUAGCUUUCCUUUCAAAGUGAAACGAUUUUCCUUUUACGUUGAGAUAUUUGAAUUGGAUUUUCUUUCACCACUACUAUCGUAACGCACAGAAAACACUGACGUUUCCGCUCGCUUUCAACCACUGCCACUUUACCUGAGCACUGUGACGCAGUCGGUCAAGUAUUGAGUUUCUGCUAGUAUAUCAAGGACUUAUGAGAACUGAAAAGAAAAAAACUAAAAAAGGAAUUCUCAUAGUUCAUUGAAUUAAGGGAGGACCAUUCGUGGGGGGUUCGUGGAAGAGUUGGGUUCGAUUCCCUUUAUACGCGAUGUGGCGAAAAAGACUGAUUCAACGAAAUAUGCCAUGCCAGCAUUAAGAUUUAAAACGUGUCGUCUACUUCCAGGAAAUGUUCGGAACAGAGAACUUUCUCUAAUCCAACGCCGUAUUCUCCGAAGAUUGAGGAACAAGAGGAGAUCCAUUAAAAGAAAUCUUUCUCGGAGAGAAAAUCUAAACAGUAACAUCAAAUCACAAACUACACGAAAGUUGUCUCUUUAUUAUGGGGAUUUACCCAUAAGGGAGAUGCACAGAGGAAGAGAACGAACUUCAUAUAUCCCUUUUUUACUCAAUCAAGAAACAAGAUCGGACGUGAUUCCGGUUCGUCUCCAUUUUAGUGACACUCUUCCUCAAGCAAGGCAGCCGAUAAGUCAUCGAAGGGUUUGUUUGAAUAAUGGACUGGUAACCAUUACUCAUUUGAAAGUUUCCCACGGUGAUCUAAUAUCUUUUAAAGAAAAUGACGCGAGAACCCGCGGUUUUGAAAUAAGGAGAUCUUUCUAUAUCGACAUAUCAGUUGGAAAAAUCAUAGGCAAAUUCCUAUCGGCCAUAUCAGUUGGAAAAAGAAGAGGCAAAUUCCUACUGGCCAGAAUCUGGAGAAGAACAAAAACAGAAUGGUUCCGCUUACUCACAACUCAGAGGGGAUGCCGCUUACUACUCAAAUCCUUGUUUUUGCAAGAGUUGCGUUCUUAUAUGCAAGAAGAAUACUUUGAAAGAACAAAGAAGUUUGGAUCCGCAAAAGUAUGCUUAGGCAGUUCCUUCGCUGAGCACAACAGAAUGAAGAGGAAUUUGUUUCAUUUCAAAUACUUCUUCUUAUUGAAAAGAGGGAAGGAGAAAAACCGAAAUCUUCCUACUCGAACAAUAAGUCCUUUUGUUUACAAGUCUUCUUUAUAUAGUAAUUCGACCUAUUGCUCCGGAUCCCCGUUUACUAGGAAGAUAAGAAUCAAAAGGAUCGAACUACCUACUCAUUAUUCGGAGGUGAAUCAUAGAACACUAAAAGCUGUGGUAUCUUAUGGACCUAACAUAGGUCACAUCCCUCACGACAUAAGAUUGAAAGAUCCAAACCUUCCUCUUCGGAGCGGAAACGGACGUGGCCAAAACAUAUAAAAAAAGAUCGGCCUAGUCGCUCAUAGGGACAUAUCUAUCCGGAUAGAGGAUAGUCUAGAUCAAUUUGGAGAAAAAUCUCUCUCUAUAUAGAUAGGUAUCUCUGUGGAUAGAGAUAAAGAUAGGGAUCCCUAUAAAUCGAAAUAUAUGGAAAAAGUGCACUUUUUGACUACUACUACUAUUUCUUAGACUUUUUCAAGGAAACAUCGUUUUUUCGAUUUUGACUGAAUUGGUCGGAGCGUAGACGAGCAAGCAGAGCCCAGGAAAGAGGUCAGAUCGUCAUAGAGCAGUCGACUAUAAGUAUAAGACUGCUGGCCUGAGAGAAGGCAGUCUCUCUCGGGAAACAUGGCCCAAUUUCUCUUCUUUCUUUUCACACGGGCAACAAUUGGGAAUAAAACAGACCAUGAACAUGAGUUUAAAAUGUAAAAAAAAGGGAAGAGUGCAUUCUCCACUUUCUUAUCUCGAAAAUGCGUAAUAUAGUGAUGUCAUGUGUCUGUUUCUCUGAAAAGGUGGGUUGGCCCUUAGGGCAAACAGUAGUGCCAGGUUCCAUUGUGGAACGGUCGUUUGCCGGUGACCUUUGUCCGCUGUAGUACGAGUGACUGGCGCAUCGCAUCCAAUCUCUCAUGUCAAUGAGUCAGUUUGAAUGGAAACUUGAAUUGAGAGAAAAGGUGUGCUACGCUUCUUCAUUCUCGUAACUCAAUCAAUAUCAAGAACAUAAAGAGUUUGUAUAGAGAUGGAUUUCUCUUCAGUUCCAAUACUUUUUUUUGAAUGGCUCGUGUUGCGCUAGUGACACGAGGGUAAAACGCUCGAGUUGGCUUGCUGACUCGAGGAGGGAAAGGCUCCAUUUGCUUUAGUGAAUGGAGGAAGAAACAACCAUAGUAACUAUCUAUGAAAUUGAUUGAUGGAUAUGAGAGUGGUGCAAGACCGGGACAGAGGAACCAUAGGAAUGUUAUGUCAGGUUCCUUGCUCACUUCUCAAGCCCAAUAUCAUUCCUCCAACUCGGACUUUCAUGCUAUAAUUAAGAACCCCCCUAAACAAUGACAGCGUACCGAGCGGGCCCUACGUCUAUCGGGGAGCUCAAAUCCUCACUAGAGUGAGGCACGUCUCGAUCAAUACAUCUCGAAUCUAAAGAGAGAAUGUUAUUGUUAUGCUGUCCCCACUCUGGAGUAUGAUUGACCAUAUCAUCCAGCGAGUGGUCUUAAGCGCUCAGUGCAUCCAUACUGAACUCGAAUGUGCGCGCUUCGGAAGAGAAAGUAAUGCGAACUACUAACUGUUAUGCCGGCUUGGCCCGAUCAAGACUUCUAUCCCUCAGAAACUGUCUCGCGUCUUAUCCGUGUGCGCGGUUGAGGAAAUUGGACUUCGUAUUCUUCCUGGGUCUGCCUCGUGGGCCGACGUCGUCUUGUGUUGUAAUCGGGGCACGAGUAUUCGAAGUAGAAGCGCAAACAUUCCCCCUUCCUUGAGAAAGCGCUUGACCCCAAGCCGGUGCAUAAGGAAAACGAGUCUUCAGGUCGAUGAGGUCCUCCCAAGUAUUGUCCAGUGCCAUCGACUCGGACCAGCGAAUCAAGCCUUGUUCCAGGACUUGAUCUCCCUUUAUUACUUAUACCAACGACUCACCAAAACUUGCAUAGGGACAGAGGGAUUGUCAGUCUCAGAUGGUAAACGAGAGGAUACCUGAGACAGUGGGCGGGGGAACAACACGUCGAAGCUUAGAGACGUGAAAAAUACAGGGUGCACUUGAGAAGUUGAAGGUAGCUCCCGGUGUUAAUAUGGAACAGCACCAACACGUGCUAGAAUCUUGUAAGGCCCAAAGUAUCGGAAGGAAGGGUUGUGGUUAGCCCGCUGUGCCACCGAGCUUUGAGAGCAUAUGGCUUUAACUUUAAGAAAACCAUAUCGCCGACAUGGAAGGAGCGAUCAGAAAGCCUUUGUCAGCUUGCGUUUUCAUCUGUUGGUUAGCUCUGUUGAGGUGCAAUUUCAGGUUAUCAGUCAUGGCACGGCGCUCCUGCAGCCAACUCUGAACGUCAGAAAUAGGCGGCUCCUCUGUAUCCAUAACUUCAAUGACCCACAACCUUUGUUCAUAUCCAUAAAGCAUUUUGAGAAUGGAAAAAAUCCAACAAACGAAGGAUAGGUAGUGCUCAAUGCUCUGCCAAAGAAAGUCAUUUAGACCAUUUCUGCGGGCAAGAAUGCACAAAACAACGCAAGUAAAUAUCAAGCAAGGCAUUGAUUCACUCCUUCGGUUUGACCUUCUGUUUGAGGGUUCUUGCCUUGUCCGGGUCUUUUGUUUGAGACGACUGAUUUGGGUUGUUCUCGGCCUGGAGGAGAAGACUCGCCUGCACUCAGGUACGCUGGAUCGGCAGGAGAUGGAGUACCUUCGGAUCCAAGAAAUCUUUCACUUCAAUAAAGAAGAAGUUGCCGCUUUUGAGCUCUUGCUCUAUCCAAUGUAGACCAAAUGCACCAGGGCAAGCUCGGCUAAAAGGUCAGUCGGGGAGGGAGUUAUAGGCCGACUUGUGGGGAAAUCUCUCGUUAACCCACUCCAUCCAAAACCUGUAGAUUCGCAUGAAGUUCCGUCAGUAGUUUAGGUCGGGAUGGGGAAUAGGGCUGGAUCCGCUAAAGUGAAUGUUCACCGGUGUCUUUCCGACCAUCCAAAGCCGUAAAUAAAAGGCUCAUGCUGCGUUUCCCUCAACAUCCACCCAGAGGGGGGCUCGCUCUAGAAACCAUUGCUGUCUGCAUAAGACAAUACAUACGGCGAAGUCAAUGCAUCGCUUCGUAUCCCGGAUAAGGACUCCGCUUAAGUUAAAUAAGGGAGCUUUCUAGGCCCAUUCACUCUACUUAAUACUUCGCACCUUGGUCGUCUGGACCGUGCCCCGGGAGCGCCAAGGUGAUCAAUGAUAGCAAUGUUGAAUAUGAUGUUGUGCCUAUUGAAAUAACAUGGCGGGGGGAAACAAAGGAGAUACUGUCUGUGGUACGAUCGGUCCGUAGCGGGAAUAUUAUGAGCCGAGGUAGCUAGGGGCAAUCAGCGUUGUAAGAGCAGGCAUCCCCGGUAAGGAGAACUGGAGACCGGACCAGAUGUCAUUAAUGAAAAGAAGCGAGGUCUACGGUAGAGGAAGGCUAAAGCUUCAAGAGCGCCCUGUCACUAGACCAACAUAAAUGGAACUUAUCCAAGACUCAACUCAAAAGAGCAACUCUGUGGAUAAGUAUACCCGACUUGAAAAGAUGUCUCUGCACCGACUUCCUCCAUAUCUAUCCCUUUUCGGAACCAAGGUGAACUAAAGAAGCAAGACGAAGCGAGCCCACAUCUAGAGACAUAGUAGUACAAGCAAGGGGAUGGUUAAGCGGCGAAGCCAACAAGGUGAUCCGCAGUAAGCUCUGGCUGAAAUGAGUGGACGAAGUUCGGCUACCGCCAGGUGAUCCAUUAUCCAGUGCCGAUGUCGGAUCUGCCAGCUCUUCCCAUUAAUCGAUCAACUAAUUUAAAAAGUGAAUUAAGAGGUGGAUGAGCAUUUUCAACAUAGUUUGGGUCAGCUGAGGCUGGUGGAUGAGAUGACUCCCCUGUGACUAAUUGAAAAUAGGAUUUACCAUAACUUAAUGCUCCCGCUUCGAUCACCAAGUCAAGAUUGAGAUGCUUCAGGAUAGAUAUCUUAGAAUGGUUGACUUCUUGCUCUUGCGGAAGGAAGGUUAUGUCCAAACUCAUUUCGUAUUCGAUAACCCAGCCGUACAAGAAAGAGGGUACUAGUUAGGUUGGCCUUAGAUACUUGCUUCUUUUCUGGUCAAUCAAGAUCGUAGCAUAGACGCUUACUAUCUCCUCCAUCUAAGGAAGAUGAGGUUGAUGGUAGUAGCCUAAGCGCUAAGAAGCUUAAAUCAUGCUACUUCAACUAUAUGCUUAAUAGGUCGAUAAGCUUUGAUUUGAAAAGGGGCUUAAGUCAUCGGUUCCAAUCCGAAUAAGGGCUUUUCUUGUGGUAUGGUUUCAAUUAGCCUUCGAGUCUUCUAUUCCGGCUAAGUCCCCUAUUGGUCCAGCCAGUAUUCUAUUUUCUUCCUAAUAUCCAUCCUUUGUUGUCAGCCUGAAAGUGGUCUAAAUCUGCGCUUCCCACUCCGUAAGCAUUUCUUAAGGAUUCCAAUCGGUAUAUCUCAUUCGAUUCGGGAAUCCCUUUGGCUGUCUGCUAGUCGACCUAUGCCCGAUCAUUCAGUUUGCGAUUUCUCUCUCUCUUUAAUACGCAAUUCUCUUCGAUAAGAAGGGUUCUCUUGUGUUCCAGGGUUGAUUAAGCGUCUGGUGGAACAGGGAUACAUUGUGUGAGGCCAAAUUGCCUGACGAAUUGAUGAAUAUGGCUCAAUAUAGACUGGUCCAGGUAUACCGGUCAGUCUUGAGCCACCAGGAUAGCCUUCCACAUAUCCUGUUCCUCCCUUGAGUAGUAACUCUUUUCUAACCUUAGAAUCCUGAACCAAUUUGCUCCAAAGACUCUGUCAUUGAAAGGAGUCCAUAGGUUGAUAAAAUAGGUUUUCAUGAAAACCACACGUAGAUAGAAAAGGUAAGAGUUACACGUGCCAGAAGCGAGGAAUACCGCUCGGAAGCCCGAUUGAACCUGUCCUCAUUCACUGCUAUCUCCAUAUAUUGGAUGCCAAGCUUGAAAGGGUAAUGGUCCGAGAGGAUGGGGCCGUAGUCUUCUAUUACGCACGCUACGCAGACGAUAUGGUCUUCGGCUUACCGAGAGGGGAUAAGUCCACGCGAGUCACCCAGGGUCUCAAAAAGGUCUUAGCUAGAGUCCUUAGGGAGCUCCUACAGGGCUUCACUUCUACUGAAAUUUCCAGAAAACAACCGGGGAGGCUACAAAUUAUCGGCUUGCCCCUGUCUCUGAAAAGUGAAGGUCAGCUCCACGUGGGUAUUCCAUCCAAACGAUGGGAGAAGAGGAUGACACUUGUUCGUAUUGAAAACCGGAGACGAAGGGAAAGAGGUUUGAUUGGAACAUGUUCUACAAGAACUCCUGUGUAGAACACGCCCGUAUCUAUUCUAUGGGCUGGCUUCAGGCCAACCCUACUGCUGAAGUAGAAAGCAUCAUAUUCCGGUUUUUCCAACACUUGAUCAGGAACCGGGCGCAGAAAUUCCUUGAAGAGAAGGGGAUGCCUACAACCAAUGCCUAAAUAAAGGCAUAUGUCGAAAAGUGCAACUACUAAUAGAUUCAGUAAAGGAAGGCCCGGAACGGGCUGAGCUACUGCCCGAAAUAGAAGAGGACGACUAGAGUAGAGGAGCCUAAUUCCAAUCCAAACAAUUGACGAGGGAGUCUAAUUAUUUUUCCGUUCUUGAUUGUUUCAAUUGCACUUUCUUCAUUUACGGGUUGCUUGGAAAGUGCGAUAGUUACGGCGCUUGGAGUAUACGGAUUGAAUUCUUCCUUCUUCUAUAGGUCUUUCUGGGCGGCGAGGCGGAAAAAAGGUGUAGAGAGGGAGAAGGUACAUAAAAAAAAACGAUUUAUAAGGUAGAAAAGAGGCAUCCACCAGUCAUUGAGAACAGCUAAUCCCGGAAUUAGCAGGUCGGUAUGCGAAGAGAAGAGCCCAGCUUGUAGCUGUAGAAUUGGAAACGCUGGCUAGAUAUAUAUCUAUAAAGUACUCUAUAAAAAGGAAGAGGUCACUAUCGCUUUUCCCCUAAAGACAGUGUUUCUUCAAAAGAAUUCCCUGCCUCAUCAGGGUCUUGCUUCGAUAAAGGUUUCGCUUCUCUUGGCCCCAAGUACCACAAGCCAGCCUUUUUACCUCGAAUAUAUUAUGAAUGACUUCCUUUGCCGGAUUGGUGAAUGGAAAAGAUCAUCAGUCAACAAGGGCAGACGUUAGGUACUCUUUUCCUGUAGUAAAGGUCAUUUGCACAGCCAUUUUCUCACUCCCUGCUGCAUCAUUUCUAUAUAUGUGACAUGUAAGCUCAUCUCGCCGAUACUACUAUAAGAUUUUUACUGACCCUAUCCGAUCAAGGCACUCAUUCCUGCUGCCAUUGCUAUCUAUUUGACUUCCCAAGUCAAUGUAAAAAGCCCCACAGGUGGGUGAUCCGGAUCCAUUGCUGCACCGCCCUAACCAAAGAAGAAUUCCCUGCCCCCAUAUCCGGCUAUCAGAAAAGAGAAGGAACUACCCGCGGGUACUAUUACGACAGGGAAAGACUGGCUCAUUUUUAGAAAAGUGAAUGCAGCUCCCCCGGCCAGGGGUCUUUAUUCUUAGGUCAAUGCACCGAAACGUCCACCUUCCAUCUGCCCCGGCAGAAAGAUAAGUUCCAUCUUGCCAAUUUGGUCUGCAAGUAGAGAGUUGUAUGAGGCUUCAGCCCUAGAAGCAUGAGAAAAGAAAACCCAGGAGCCUUCAGAGAAGAAUGCCCACUUCCCCCACUACUGAAAUAUGAACCCUUUCGAACUCGACCUUUACUUAAGUGAGUAUAGUAUCUUGCAAGUUCACCCUAAUUAAGAUAACAACAUCCGCCAUCCUCUAGGCAACCCACAGCUGGCACCAUCCCCUAUAGGGCAGGGCUUAUUAACUCUGUUAAUUGCUCCUCAUUCAUCCAUUAUAAGCUGAAAGCGGUAUGGCUAUGUAUCCCUUUGCUUAGAUCCUUUGAUACUGCAGUUGGGGAUGGAGAGGCUAUAGGAAUUCUUCAAUAUAGCAUUAUUCGUUCCUGUGACCCCUUGUCCCGUAGGUUUGGUUUACCUUGAGCGCAUAGAAAUGAAAGAAUCCACAUUCCAUCAUUCCUUCAGCGAGCAUCUUUAUUCACAAGGACAAGUGUUUCCUUCAAUCGGUGUGCGCCACUGGAUCAGGCUCCUUAAAUUCAGGCGCAAUUAGAACCAGUUGCUGGAAUAGGUGUUUUGGCCGGGUCACCAAUGCAAGGAAGGAGGCAAAGAAGGUUGUGGUUACAUGGACUCUAGGGAAGCGGAUCCUGACAAAACAACUUGCUCAGAAUACGCUUUACCGCCAACUGAUAAGUAGUUUCUAGCUGCAAGCAAAUAAGGCAGGCAAUCUAUAAAAUAAAAUAUCAUACAAAAUUACUCCACUAUUGCCUUUUGUAAAGACUCGGUAUCUGCCGCCUCUGCUUUGGCAGCUUGUUCAGCUUCAUACUCGGUGUAAGUCCUCUCAUUUGAUGGUAUUGUGUACCUAACGCUAGUUUACUAGCGGCUAGUUUUUGUUUAGAGACGGAUCUAUUGCGUUUCUUGAUCCGCUGAAAUAGGCCCGCGUGCGGGUGGCAUGAGGAAGAAGUCAGAGCCUAUCAGGCCCAAGCGAAGCUUUGCAGCGAGAGUAGUCAAAGAUCGGAUAGAUUCGAACCGCAAUUGCUAAGGCUAUGCCAGCUCAAAUCCUGUAACGAGCAAUCAUCAACGGCUUCCCUAAAUGCCGCCAUCCGCCAUUCCGCACGCUCUGUGACACUGAAAUGUUCACUUGCAUGGAGGGUUUGUUUCGUUGAAGUCACCCAUGCAUAGCCAUGGCAACUCAAUCGACAUGUUCUAUAUAUGCAAUCGCAGAGGCGAAGUAUUAUUGUCAGCCUGGACUCGACACCCAGGGCUGUGCCGAUCCGCUUGUCCCUCUAGCUCGUAUUAUAAAAAGCUGUAUUUCUAUGUAGCACAAGUGACUUACCAUCCUACCAAGGAUCCCUAGGAUUUCCACACUCAAUAAAUCGAAUCAAUUUAUUCUAGUGGUUGGUGAGGCGGGUAGCGCCGAUCGGUAUUCUAUAUCAGCGGACCCAACCCUCCCUUGCAUCUAAGGCACAUUUCAUCUCUGGGCCCGCCCCCAACAGAUACCGGUACCGGCCAUGAAGGCUUCGCCCUUCUCAAGUGCAAGAAUGAACAAUAUCUUACAUAAAGAACAAGAGCACGAGUUGCGUCAAAUGACCAAAAACAGUCUAUCGAAAAGAGAAACUUGCCACUCAGCAGGCAGGGGCACUCACUAUCCAAAAUCGGUAGACAGCAAGCAAGAGAUGGAGCUUCUGCUAGGCCUGGUUAUCCCGAAUCCUUUCCGCCCCUUCGGUUUGAGGUUAUGCUUUGGCCUACCUAAAACUUGUGCUUCUAUAGUGUGAUUCAUUACGGUGCUCUCUCCCAAUAACAGAUAGCUCUAAUAGGGCAAUAGUGGAGGAAAGUCUUCAUGAAAAAGAUGGACUUGUUACUUUUGAAUGAUAAACUUAUUCGGGCAGCUGGGAAAGAAGAAGGAUGACUUUAGUCAAAUUAAUGAAGCGAUCCCGCGGAUACAGAAGUUGUGUUUGAAGUAUGAGCUGCUGCUGCUGCUGAAAACAACAUUUUUGCAUGGUUCUUAGCUCAUAGUGUGUGUGGGUGAUUUCCAUGAAAUAGAUACCAUUGACACAUUGAUUAUACCGAGUAUGCCCCUCGGCAUGAUCUUUCGUUUAGCCCACUGUAGAAGAUGAUCACACUUUGGAAGAGAGACAGUCGCUGUUCGACCUCAAGAAUUCCUGGAUAAUACGAGGGCUGAAAGCCUUCAUCGACAAGAGGACAUGGUUGCAUGACCGUGGCUCAAAACUAACAUUAAUAUUGGCUUACUCGUACUCUGGAGAAGGAUCUGUGCCCUUUUUGAUAGCCGAGAGGUAAGUAGGCCAUUGAAGCCUUAAUUAAGCCUGUAUUCUUCUAUCUACGAUAUUCUAUCCAUGAAAGGGAGAAGCUCAAGUCGAAGUGUGUACCAAUAGUAGAAGCAAGAAGCGUAGGUCUUUUUCGGCCACCGAGGACACAUGCGCCAGGAAGAAAAGCAUGAUCGUAUACGGAAACUGGAGCUAGAUCGUACAGAUCGUAAAAUUCACCAUGAAAGAUGCCUUAUGACCUAAACCUCACACAAGCUAAUGAAAAUGACUAUCUAUUUUGACAGGCGGGACUGAACUAGUACGAAAAUUGACCCUUAGGUUUGUCUUGGUCAACGGGACCGCAUAACGAUUAUGCUUUGAAAACGGCUCUGGGUCCGUCAGGAUUAUGAGAAGUUGUACUCAGUAGGGCUCUUUUGGAGAAGUUGAGUAGCACCCUCGUAUUCUAGUUUGUGAGUAAUCUGAAAAGGAAAGGCUGCUGGAGGGAAGGAUAGAAUGGUUCAGUGGGAUUUAGAAGGUAUGCCUUUUUCUUCUUAUUUACUGGCUCGGACACAGGAAUUCUCGAGGAAGAAAAGCAAAUGUCAUUUCUCAAUUGUCACCGCCUGGCAGAAAAGCUUUUCUUUCUUCCUACUACAUACGAUAUUCAAGUGCCCGUUUUCCUUGUUCACAUGAGGUGAACGUCCAUGCAGAGGAUACUUGGAAUACCACCCUUAGCCCCGUCCGUCCGUUGGAAUCGAUGGCUUAAAACGAGUUCUUCUAGCUUAGCUCAGCAGAAGCAAAGGACGAGCCGAAACUCUACCCACGAGGCUUGCUAUCAACCAUCAUGCCGAGGAUCUAAAUCCGUCCUAUCGGAUGAGGAGAGCAAGAGGGAUUGCACGACGAAGUAGAUCUGCACGUGGAAAGAAAGGGGUCAAGCGGAUACACGAUUCCAAAUUACUCCUUUCCGGCCAAGAAGAGAGGAUCUACAGGGUACAACGUAAAGUGUUUUGAUCGCAUUGGAAAAGACUAUCCAUACCGACCUAGAGUCGUCAGCCAUCGCACAAGCAGGCAAGCCAAGUUCCGAUACAAUUAGAGAGAAGCCAGCCUUUGGUAUAGAAGCCAUCCAUCAGUCUAUCAUUGUCAAGUGACUCAUCGCCCGUGGGACUUAGAAAUGAUUGAUUCGAAACCGACCUGGACUCUUUCUUUUUUGGCAUGGAAUUCUUAAAAUGCAUAUUAAAAGUGAAAUAGUUGAUGUGAUGGAUGUGCCCGGUAUCGAUCAAUGAAACAUCGGCUCGACGCAGGAUUUCAAUAGAACGAAAAACCUCGUAAGUAGUAGUAAUUGAAAGCCCUGGGACUGCAACCGGAACUACCCGAUCCGCUGAAAUACGAUACGAAGGAAGAAAGCUCAAUACAGGUUCGAAGCUUCAAACAGAGCCAGCGAAUCCACGCAUGGACAGAUCGAGGUAGCAACACCACUUUAGGAGAUUAAACAAAUGUUCAGUGCUCUAGUGAGGAUUGAAGUUCUAAAUAAAGAAAUUGGCUUUUGAUAGGCUGGAAUCGGAUCAUUGUGCAAUGUUAUGUUUUUCAAUCCAAAACUGAUUCGUUUCGUUGGUAGAACCCACGCCAACUCUUUUCUCUAAAUAAUAGAGAGAUCUUUUGAUAGAAGUUUGACUUCUAUCAAUGCAAUGAAAGAACUAUCCCUUCCUAUUUGUUUGUCCUAAUGAGACAAAAAAGAGCCUCCUUCUUUACCACUUUAGGGGAUGGGGGUGAAGGGGGGUUUACAUACAACCGGGGCAAAGUGGUUUAUGAUUGAAUCUCAGAGGCAUUCUUAUCAUUUGGUAGAUCCAAGUCCAUGGCCUAUUUCGGGUUCACUCGGAGCUUUGGCAACCACCGUAGGAGGUGUGAUGUACAUGCACUCAUUUCAAGGGGGUGCAACACUUCUCAGUUUGGGCCUAAUAUUUCUCCUUUAUACCAUGUUCGUAUGGUGGCGGGAUGUUCUACGUGAAUCCACGUUGGAAGGGCAUCAUACAAAAGCUGUACAAUUAGGACCUCGAUAUGGUUCUAUUCUCUUCAUAGUCUCGGAGGUUAUGCUCCUUUUUGCUUUUUUUUGGGCUUCUUCUCAUUCUUCUUUGGCACCUACGGUAGAGAUCGGAGGUAUUUGGCCCCCAAAAGGGAUUGGGGUUUUAGAUCCUUGGGAAAUCCCUCUUCUUAAUACCCCUAUUCUCCCUUCAUCCGGAGCUGCCGUAACUUGGGCUCAUCAUGCUAUACUCGCGGGGAAGGAAAAACGAGCAGUUUACGCUUUAGUAGCAACCGUUUCACUGGCUCUAGUAUCCACUGGCUUUCAAGGAAUGGAAUAUUACCAAGCACCCUCCACUAUUUCGGAUAGUAUUUAUGGUUCUACCUUUUUCUUAGCAACUGGCUUUCAUGGUUUUCAUGUGAUUAUAGGUACUCUUUUCUUGAUCGUAUGUGGUAUUCGCCAAUAUCUUGGUCAUCUGACCAAGAAGCAUCACGUUGGCUUUGAAGCAGCUGCAUGGUACUGGCAUUUUGUAGACGUGGUUCGGUUAUUUCCAUUUGUCUCUAUCUAUUGGUGGGGAGGUAUAUGAAAGAAGGGAACGAAUAAGUGGAUUGAGGAAUAAAAGCUCGAAGACAAAGAGAACUUCUCCGGGUGACAGGACCACCCCGGCAGCGUGGCUUCUCUGCCGAGCAGGAAGCCACAAAAAGCAUUGUGCUCUUGUAACUGAUCUUUUAGUAGGCGAAGUUGCCGAAUUCUGAAAUCACUACAGGCACAGUGCAGGAAAUUGUGAGUCCUAAAAAACAGAUGCCCCAUGAUCAUUGACUUACAUCACGAUAUCUUUUUCUUCCUCAUUCUUAUUUUGGUUUUCGUAUCACGGAUGUUGGUUCGCGCUUUAUGGCAUUUCAACGAGCAAACUAAUCCAAUCCCGCAAAGGGCGGAUCUCGACGUUCUCGUCAUGGCCAAAGCGCCUAACGAGGGUGACUUUCCCCUAGACCAACCUCCCGUUGGCGGCUUGCCUGACCUCCGCGAGGAAAUAGCCAGGUCUGCCCCUCAUGAAGCAAUUCUGUCGGAGCUAAGCUCCCGCGUCGAGACAAUUUUCGAGGAAGUAGGAACCCAGGUUCCUUUAGAGGAAGGGCAGUCUUUGCGCGAUUUCACACAAACUCAGGUCUUAUGGGAUGGAGAGGGCGAGGGUGAAGAUACUCUUCAGGAUAUCUUUCGAGCCUACCUGGAAGAGGGAGAGGAAAGCGAGUUCGUUAGAACCGCCGCGAAUCUGGCGAGAAAAUAUCGUCACGCGGAGCUAGGAGAGCCUGAGACGCCAGAUCCCGAGGAUCCCGUGGUCGAGCCUGAGGCUCAUUCCAUGAAAUCCCUUGAAGGCACAGAAGCAAAUGAUGGGGUUAAGGAGGCAGGCCCGUCUUCUUCGCGGAAGCGUAAAAGGUGGGAUGAUGAUUCGGGGUCCGAAGAUGAUGAUUCGGGGGGAUCUGGGGUUUCUCCGGAUCCUGUUGAGAUCAUUUACGAAGGGGACGCACAAACCUGUCCCGCAGAUGUAGAUAAGAUGCGGAGUAGGUAUCCAUCUUUGCAAAUCGAGAUACCGAGGCCUCCUAUACCUGUAGGGUAGAGGGGGGAUAGAAGAGAGGGUAUGUGGGCUUCUAUCAAAUAGUGAAGACCCGGGAACGACAGUCGCUCGACGUAAGGAGAGGAACGAAAUAUCAAUAGAGGCACGAAAACUGCUGGGUAUGAAAUUUGGGUAGGGUUGGCAGGGAAAGUCCAACUGACACUUUCUUUGAUGCCCUUUUUUCUCCAACUGGCUCAGAGAUUGCAUUUGCCCUUAACCUCCUUUGAAUCCAUCGUUUAGACCCUCUCAAUUGGUAUUGGCAUUGGCUCGAGAGCAAGGACCUUAUUUGAUCGCUUAGAACUUGAUGGAAGGAAACUCACUCGCUCGAGAUAUGCUUAAGCUAGCUCAGGAAGAGUACUAAUUUUAUAUGCCUUAAAGAGGGGAUUCAAAGAACAUUUAAGUUUGAAGUGAAAACAAAACAAUAACUAAAAAAAUUGACUGAGGAACUAUCUAAUACAACUAUUACUUUCGAGGACAAGAAGGAUGCUCUAUAUCUUUUUCCAAUCCUGGCAAAGGGAAAGCCAGUAGAGUAUGCCUUGGUUUAAGAGAGGAGCUCAGGUCCAUCUUGUGCUCACAAUACAUCUUAUUUAGCAGGACAUCUUGGGCUCUUUAGAGAAAGGCGAAGUCUCUACUUGUUAACCAUGGAUGCCUGUUAUAUUUACUUAUAGAGUGAAGAACAAGCCCACUUUCCAUAUCCCUUUCGUCCGGAUGAUCGAUUGCCUCAUUCUUCUUCGAAAAUAAGUGCAUUUGGCCAUUGUGUUUUUCCAACUUUCGUAAUAGAUCUGGGCAUGCAUGGUUUUCAAUAGAUAACCCUAGGCCUUCUUCGUUUCCCCACGGGCAUUCACUUCUCUUCAAGCUCGGGAUUAGCGAAACAUGGAUCCGAUGCCCAUCUCUUUUUCCACUUUGCAAGGCUGAGAGACUUUACCAAUUGAUAAAAAAAAGCAUGAGCAGGAUCAGCAGAGGCAAAAUCGAAUAAAAUGGCUUAUUUGCACCUUUCUUUGGUAGGCAACGAAUCUCACGGAAUGUGGGAAUCUUUUACAGAUGUGAAUUCUCGCUUUAACGCUUCGAUAACAUACUUAGAAUCAGGUAUCUUCGGGACCGGGGCUCGCCCUCAACAGAUAUUGUCUUUGCUUCCGCUGAUGUCGCGUCAAUUGCCCGAGGGAGCAUAACACUGCAGGCCGCAAUGAACAUGCCCGCCGCAUCUCGGAUAAUUGCUCCAGUUGCGCCAAUUCCAGUAUCCGAGACAGAAAGCAGCAUCCACGUGAACUUUGACUGUUCAUAAUAUGGGAAAUUCCGAGGUGAAGGAUGCCUGCUCAGGUCAUGAUAUCACUGAUCCAAACUACCAAAUCUGAAUCCUGACUAGUUAGCGAAUCGUGUGCUCUGUGCGAAUGUCUUUAUUAGUCUAUUUCAUUUAAGCCCAAAGGAUCUUCGAAUACCGACUGGUCGUCCCAAUCCAAUCUCCCAUCUGCUUAUUCCAAUUUUUCCUAUUCCUAGCGAAUCAAAUGAGAUUUCUGUUCUUCCAUCAAGAGGAGAUAGUUAUAGUUAUCGAUAAAGCUAAAAAAAACCUGUUGACAUCGAUAAAGCUAAAAAAAACCUGUUGACAUAGAAUGCAAUCGAAAUAGAGACAACUAGGCGAAAAAAAGACCGAAAACAAUAAGAAACUUCUACUCCCUAGGUGGUUAUUUGCCGCAUAAGACAGCGGUGGAAGCUGAAGGAAAGAGUGGGCUUUGAAUCUAGGUAUGCUUUCUAAGGAUUGCGCUGCGCCUAGCCUACCUUUACGAACAUACCUCUGUCUUUCAAACAAAGCCCUGUGUGUGGAACUACUUAUAUUUGUUUUCUAAUUGCUUUUAUCGGGCCAUCGAGAAGUCAGUCAGCGGUUGGCUUGAGUCCUCAAGUUGGUCUUUAAGACUUAGCAGGGCCCUACACACAGUACACCUUAGUAGAAGGUAGAUUUCUCUCACCCUAUGUGCAAUCAAGCUCAGAGACUUGAGCCGCAGAAUCCCUUAUUUCUUUUCUUUCUCAUCGAUCGAAAAAGGAUGAACUAAAAUGACUUGAUUCGAAGCCACUUCUGACUUGGAUUGAUGAAACGAGAAGAUUAUUGGAUUGGAUUGUUGGUCUUUCACUAAUGGAGCAUCUCAGCCCUAGCCUUGAAGUUGAACAUCCGGGGAUAUCUAAAUAUUGAACCAGUGAUUCAAAAGAAUGGCAAGUCAGCGGUUAUGUGUUGACUUCAGAAACAGGAAUCUUGCCACUCCAAAGGACGAGUAUCCAAUGCCGAUAGCUGACCUACUGGUAGAUUCGGCAGCUUGUAUUGAGCCUCUUGGAUGCCCACUCAGGAUAUAACCAGGUGCCAAUCGCCGAAGAAGAUAUUAACAAGAAUUUAGAUGCCCUGGUCCAGUUGGUGCCUAUGAUUUGUCGAUCAAUUCCUCGGGUCAAGGGGCGCACCUAUGAUGUAUAAUCUUCACUACUAGUCAAUCCAGGGAAAUAUUCCUUCUGGCCUUUUAUAGAUGGAUACCUUUUUCUUAGAAAAAAUCCCCUUUCAGGUUUAAUGAUCAAGCAGCGGGGUACCGAUUAUCCUCUUUUUGCCGGAGGAAGCGAGGAAACAGAGCUAACGGAAUUUCAUUGUAAAGAAAAUGACUCAUAAGGAGGUCAGUCAUAAAAUCCUUAAACACUAGAUCAUGACUAUAUACCCGGAUCUCAUUCCUUGAAAGAUCCCAGGUCGCUUCGCUUAAUCAAAGAUAAGAAAUAUCAUAGCUGCUUACGAAUGCCAUCCAACGAGGUAGAACCACCUUCUAAUCCUUAUGGAGUUUAAGAACAACGUCCACUUGGAUUUUCUAUACUAGUUAGCCGCAGAAAAAGACGAAAGCGAGCCAAAACAUGUAAAUCAAAAAACAAAAGAAGGGAACAUCCACUGCUGAAAUACACUUGCAUCGUCGUUAAACAGGAACUCAAAAACGGCACUAUAGCAUUGGAAUUAUGGAAUUUGAAUGGAUUGAGUACAUCAAGAUGAAGAAAUUAACGUAAUAAGCGAUAUUCUCAAAAGAUUCGGUCAUGCCAGAAACCUCAGUGUGCAUGGCACUAAAAAAGGGUACAAAGAACCUGAGAUGCAAGUAAUGGCUGAAUAGCCGGGGAAACACUAAAUAAAGACAAGUGUCAUCCGGACUUACUUGAUUGAUUGAAUCGAGAGAUGGAAAUGCCAUUGAGAGAUUAGAAGGGAUAGAGAAAACGUCAGAUAGAGGUCGUGCUUCUGCUCAGUCCAAAAGAACAAUCUGAGUGAGGAUAAGGUGGUUUAUGUUAGGGUCCGAGAAAGCAACUUGACAUGCCAAUCCUAACAAGAAUUCCACUCUUUCUGGUCAUGUCAGAAACCACCUCUUGGAAAGCAGAUCGAAAGCCAAUCGUUUCAGAAGAUGAUGACCCUCUUGUGCUCCUACGUUCCUGCUAGUUGGUGGAUGAAGAAUAGGAGAGAGCUUGCUUGAGUAGAAGAUAACCCGCGAGAAGGAUGUUUUGUAGCGCUUUCUCAUACAAAAGGAAAAGGCGUCACGACCGAUCGAUAAAGAAAAGAACCGCAGCGCUGUCGCCCACCCCGCUUUGGGCACGGGGAGGCGAGAACCACCGCUUUUAGGAAAGAAGCCUACAAUUUGAUUCUCGUCUCGUUUCACUUGCAUUUUCUUUCGUUCAGUCUCGUUCUGAGAGUGGAAUCGAACCACUCACUCCGUUUGGAUUUCGAGUCCAAAGGGCCCAGCCAGCGAAAGAGGAUUUACAGUCCCACGCAGCCUGCCAGAACCUUUUUCUUGCUUGAUUUUUAUACGAUUUUUUGAGCAACUAGCGCGAAAGCCGUUGCGCGUUAGCGCAUCCGUUUUCUUGCUUGAUUUUUAUACGAUUUUCUGAAGUGAUCUGUCCAACUAAGUAGAAAAGGACACUAGAGUGUGGCUACACGUGGUAUAGGGCUGCUCGUCCCGCCUGGUGUUGAGAAAUGACAUCCAAUCUUUCGGUACCUAGAAUAUAUUCUAGGUGGAUAAACUUAUUUUUGAUCAGCAUCAAUGGGAGAUCUGAUGUUUUAGAAUGACCUUCCCCCGAUCAGAGAAGGGGCUUGGUCUGGAACGGAUUGAGACGGAAAGCGGUAAUCAAUCGCCGCGUGGUGGAACGCUUGUUGGAGAAGGGUAAGCGCCUCCAUGUCGUAGGGGUGGGUAGGCCAAUAGAAGACUAGGGAACUUAGCCUAGCCACUCAGUUCUGCCCCGAGCCAAGUCUAUUUAGUGUCAGCGAACACAUACCACUAUCUAUAUAUAGGUUUUUCUUUUUCGUAGAGGUUGUCGCUUAGGUCCUUGGACCCUUCCUUCAUGAAGCUUGAGGAAGCACUCACUUUUCUAUCCACGGCAUUCUUGGUUCUGCACUUAGUCUUGAACCUGUGUUGGUUUGGGACGUCAAUCUCAUUCGUCAGCGGUGUGUGCCGCGUACUAUGAUUGCUUUCUUCUUGCUGUCAAAUCCCAGUCUAUCUUUCACUGAGCUUCCUUCGCUUGGAAUUCAAAGUCCAAAAAAAAGAAAGAAAGCGUACUGUGAGGUAUGAAUGAUCAAAUGUCUACGGGUGUCAUUGAAUAUCAUGGGGUACGAACUUCUAAGGUCAUGGCGUAGGGUAUUGGAUAGGCUGGUCCGCUGGUCGAAGUCAUUGCAGGGUGUGCUACGGACAGCUAUUGUUCCAGGGCAUUUCCUUUCUCUCGUCAUCACGCCAACAUACACAAGGCUUGCCUUCACAGGGCCCCACCUUGACUUGCCAUCAUGGCUACACUCUUUUCAUCAAAGCAACUCUUCUUAAGAAGACCCCUUGGUCCCCACAACGAAGUUCCUCCAUAGAGAACCCAACUGCACAGCACCAUCGCAAAGGUUUCUUCGUAACUCGAUUAGUCUCACUCAAGAGAACUCAUCUACACGGAAGGUCUUUUAAGUGCCAGUUGUACCCGCACAGAAGUUCUGCGCCCUCAACUACACCAGGAUGCCCCCUGCAGUAGCAUCACAACUUUUCUCACCAUGGACAGCUCGCCAGUCUUCUUGCAUCAGCCACACCUAAUUACAAAUGACCUUGGCCUCUCCAUGCUCGUCAUUUACAUUUAAACUGCACACCCCCUUGUUGAGGUCUUACUCCAAAGGUACGGCCUCUAGCACAUGACCAUUCCUCACUCAAGUCAUCGACACCCUCGUCGAUGUACGUGUUGAAAGAAGAAAUUCCACUAUCUCUCAAACGAAAUGAGGUUUUUGAACUCCUAUAUAACAGAGUUUCAUUGAUGCCAAAGGGGGUUUUCCUCAAACGAUUGGAACCAGAAUAAAAUAAAAAAAAGAAUGAAAGAGUCAAUCUAUCUUAGUCAAGGCGCUCGCUCUGCCACAAAGGGAGGCACUGGCAAAAUCUAAAUAGAAAAGAAUAGUGUGGUUCAGCGUUGCUAUCCCUCGGUCUCCCCAAUCAAGGGCUUAUAGCAACCUCUAUCAACACAACUAUCCGAACACCUAUUGCUUGCUUUAGCUCCAACUACUGCUAGCUUUAGCUGCAACUAUCUUCCGACUCUCUACUUGUUCGUUGCCCGACGCGGCUCUGCCUCUGCCUGUUUUUGAGCUCAAUAAAAGAGAAAGUUUCAUGCCAGUAUGGGCGAAAACCAUCAAUUUUCACAUUCCCCUAAUAAAUGGGUGUUUUUGAGGUCCUUUUUCCGAUCAGUUUCAUGCCAGUAUGGGGUCAAAGUAUACAAAAAUCACAUUCUCCCCGUAGAACGCUGUUUUUAGAGCUCUCCUUUUUUGGAAACUUUCAUUGCGCAUAGUACGAAAACCAACAGAAAUCCCACUGGCAAAGGUGUUGUGCCGGUUGCCGACCAGGCGAUCGACCAGCUUCCGACCAGAAGCGUUGGUCCAGUGAGGUGAGCCACGACCAGAACAGAGCUGUUACAAAGGAAGCCCACUCCCUUAUGUUCUGAUGGGAAAUAGGACUAGGAUCUGUAAUAGUUGUAUCUGCUUUCCUUUGGUUUGCAUGGGCACGUGAUACAUUCCUAGCAUGACGUUGGAACAAGCAAGGACCCAGCGUGAUCCAGAGGGCAAGCCCAUCCCGGGUAACUUUGUAUCCUGACCCAAGCCGGAAGUUUGUCGAACUUGUAGUCUAGGACAUUGGUAGGGAUCCGCAUGGGCACGCUGAACAAUCCGAUGGCCACCCACAACACGAAACAUCGGCCCCGCUCGUAGCGCUUGCCGAUCAUCCCUAUCUCUACCGGGCCCGUAUUCCCCGCCUCGCUGAUACUUAUUCAUUUCUUUGAAUCGAUAAAGAUGGGUAUCCAUGCCUCUUAGUUCCGGGGAGAUACUGGUUAUGCCAGUGUGGACAAGUUCAAAUGGAGCAAACCCGCAAGAGCAUGGAGCAUAGGAUUUGAAUUAGCCCAGGAGGCGCGGGCGAGCAACUAAAGCCGACUUCCUUCCUCUGAUUGGAAUUGGUUGAAAGGAAACCGGAACUGGAAGAUUGACUCGGGGAAACAGGAAAUCCUUAAUGCCGUGGGAAAUCCAUUGAGUAUCCAAGGAAAAGGCAAGCUCAAGGUAUUCUCCCCAAUCUUUCCCUUUCGGUCAGACAGCACUGGUCAAUAGGAUCGGGUGGGCUGGGCACAUAGCCGGAGAUAAGAAAUGGCAACAAGGCUCAACAGAGCAGAGAGACAAGAAUACCUAUAUAGAGACAUGAGAAAGAAUAAGCCAAGGACAAAACGAGAAUUCCGCAUCCGGUGAAAGCUGAAGUCACAUAGGGAAGGGAGUUUCUGCAGAUGGAGAAAAGGGAGAUAUCACACUGUGUGUGAUAGGUUAUUAGCUGGAGGAUUGAGAUUGGUAUAUGGCAUUCAGAUAGUCCUUCUGAACUGAAAUCAUGGAAAGACUAGGCUCACCAGGCAGGGAAAGCUAGAUAUAGCCUAAAAAACCUCCACUUACGGAUUCACAUACUGGUUGGUAUGUUCAUCAAGUUCUCGAUUACUACUUACGGUGCCCACUGACUCCCUUUAAUGGUACGCCAAGAUAUCGCUCAUAACGACUGCAAAGGCAUAUUUAUUAGCCAGCUGUGGGAUACUGCCCUAAAGCUGCUGUUCCGGUGAUUAGAUCAAAAUAGAGUUCUUUCUACAAGAGCAUCUCAAGUUGGUCAGGCGUCCCCAGGAGUGUUUCGAUAUCAGCAAGCACAUUCUAACUAUCUAUAAAUGGCAUUUCGAGGUGAGAGAGAGUUCCAGCAUAUUACACAAAAGAGUGGGUAGACACAUGCGUUGAGGCAUUCCCUACAACAGGUGGAUAAAGCCGUUUCUAGGCCAUAGAAAAACAUAGCAUGUGACAUUUAUUUACAUAGGACCAAGCAUAAUCGUUUUAGAUAAGAAUCAAUCAGCAGGUGAAAGGCAAGCACUUCCUUCCCUGAAUCCUACUCUUGCCCUAAAAAAGUACUAACUAAAGCCAAAUCGAAUGAAAUAUGCCUCUCUACGCGAAUAAGCAGAAGUGAGCCCAAUAGAACAGAUCAGGAAAGAGUUUACUAAGCUAUCGCGCGCAGUAAAGAGAAUACCAUAUCUAGUUCCUGGCUAGCUCCCAUCUUCGAUGCAUGGAUCUGACUAACCGGAGAUCGGACUCGUGUGCUUGAAUCAAAAGAAAAUACCGGUAUUCUGUUCCAAAUUAGGCUUGUAAUUAGAGUUACCAAUGGUAAGGAUUGGCGUGGGUUUAGAGUGGGUAGCCCGCUCGCUAUCUAUGUCUUUCAUUCCCAUGGAUUGGAAAACAUCUUACUCGCCAUGGGGCGAAACUUCUCAUCGUCAGCCUAAGUGAUUGUUUCUGUAAGCUAGAGAGAAGUACCCUUGAUUGGGUGCUUCGAACGCCCUUCGGGAAGUGAAAGUGAAGGUUGAUCAAUAGCUUGAAUCAGGACGAUGCCGCUUAGAAAAGUCUUCUUUCUUCCUUUUCAUUGUGACUCAAAAGCCACAAACAAGGGUUACUAUUCAGGAGUGGAAUUGCAUUCUGUACAAUGGGCAUUUUCAUUUCUCUUUCUGUGCUAUGGCUAUGGUUGACUUCUGUCUCUCGACAUGUAGAGAAGCUGAUCAAAAGGAAAUAGUCUUCCAGAUGGCAAAUAUGUGAACCAUAAACCGUAGAUUUACCACCAAUUGUGACUCAGGGAGAUGAAAGGUAGAGAAUGGCUUAUUCGUAAAAGAAGGCUCCCAGCCAAAUAUAGAAUAGAAAGGAAGGGGCAUCCCCGUGAGAAAACCAGGUGGUGUUACUUUCCUGCUUCCACCUGAACCUGCUUGCAGGCCUUAUAGAAAAGUCUUGUAUAAGAUAACUAGCUUGACAACAGGAAUUCUCUAACUUACUUGUAGAUAACGAACUUGCUGAAGGAGGUUAAGAUAGUUUUCCGUUAAUGGGGAGAGAGAAAAAGAGUCCUCGCUUUCAUAAUCGGUAAUCAGAGUCCAGGCUUCCAAAAGCCAUAUUUUACGACAACCUAUGAACCGACUAACUCAACAGCUGGCCUUAGAGAAACUGUCCUAACUUAUCCAAGUAGUCCUAAUAAAUAGCCAUGAUGAAAUACUCUUCCUUUCCCUGCGGCACUCGCUUGAAGGACUCGAAAGCUGACUAAUGCUGAUAGGAAAACAGAGCUUCCUUCAAACGCUGAUCGAUACCAUCCACCAGAAGAAAACGUGACCGCAACUACUUCCCGAAUCAGCACCGUCUGGAGGCUUUGCAUCUGUAUUUGGAGCUGGGCAUGCAUCCAUUGAUUCUAGCACUUGGAGCUUUGAACGCUCGAAAGAGAAAUACAAUCUCCGCCCUACAAGUGGAUCGAUAGGUUCAUACAUCUUGUAGUCGGUGCAGUUCUGGGAAGGAAUGGGCUAGUAUGAGUUCUGGUUUAGUCAGUAGUUCACUUCUCCCUUCUUGUCCGCAAACAAAGCAAACUAGAAACCUGCUUUUGCUGAAGACAGUGCUCAAUGAGAGGAGGUGGGCAAGUAUUAGUUAAGGGAUAUCAGGAAGGAGGUCGAAGAAAGGGGAAAGAGCUUCAUCGUCGAUUAGCAAUUGAAAGUAGGGGAAACUAUGAUUCUAUCGAAUGUGCGUAUCCAUUGGGGCUAGUGAAAGAUUACGGUAGGGGAACCCGUUUCACUACUGACUUCGUGUAUGAGUGACAAAAAGUAAGGGCAGAAUAGCCCCUUCAAAGUAGGGGCUUCACAACCCGCUUCUCUUCCUUAAUUUAGUGAAUGGUGGGUGCGCAAAGUCUUGAGUUUUGGACCUGUUACGGACAAAAGGAGAAGACAACCAUUGUACCGAUCCACUACUUGAAUCUACGAGGACUAGUUUAGUCGGAUCUAUUGUUUUACCACUCACUAACAGGACUUUCCUGCUUAGGAUUGAUAAGAUAAGAAGAUCGUUUUCUUUCUCUUGCUCUGUAUAAUAGAAAUAGUGUACUAAGGUAAGUUCCAUUAAGUUAGGGCUGGUUAGUGAAGUUAAGUAAGAGGGAGUUCUAGUUAAGUAUGCCCAUAGCUCUUGCUUCUAAUUGGUUAGUGCAGGAUACUACUCUCCCCGUCCAGUUCUGGAGAAGAGAAAGGUUGCGUUCCUUCUUUUCUUUCAGAUAGUGGGAUGCGUUGAUCUGCUGAAUCAAGAAGAUCAAGUCCUCCCGGGCAAGGCGAACCUAGUGGUUUCUAGUUCAGUGCAGCCUUUUCCUCAGAGCUAUUUGACAAUGGGCCCAAUGAAGACUUCUUCCCCCCGAGGAUAAGUCGAUACUAGUUUCUGGUCUGCUUUGGAGAGUAGAAGUCGAUAUUUGUUUCUGGUCUGCUACUGAACUUCGCAUCGCGCUAGGUGAGACGAGAAGUGCCAGCAAAGGCCUCUGUUACGGAUUACGGGAAACAAGCAAACAGAACAGGUUUGAUAACUUACUCGGGUGCCGGGGCCUCGGAUCCAGAGGUUCCAGGAAGGAGGAAGGCUCGUUUCAUUAUCGAAUAUCGUGUAGAACUCACUUGCCCUGCCUUUUGCUAGGAAUCCUAUCGUUAUGCUUUGGUCGGGUUAUCCCAUAAAUCAAGGGCCCUACUAUUCUAUUAUUUUUUGUUCAGAUCUGAAAGGACAGAUAGAAAGCUUAAACCCAGCUUGGGGAGAAAGAUGAAUCUUGGCGAGAGUAAGGAAUCGCACCCUUAGCGUGAGGGGAAUAGCCGGUUUCCUUUCCUUAACUAGACUACCUUACGGUAGCUCGACUGGGCACGUCAACGUAUGUAUUCUGUCUUCCCAAUCAAACAUUAGUCAUUGCAGCUAUUUCAUCUGGUCUACUAGAGUAGAGAGAUCUCUCACUUCACUGCACAUCGCACUAACUAAUAGCUAGCCGCCUCACGGAUCACCUUAUUAUGUGCAGCUAAAGCGGGGUGUGUGCAUUGUUCAACUAGAGCCGAGGAGGACAAAAGAAUAAGGAACAAUAGGUUCGCUACCCGAUUUCAAUAGUUUCCUUGAUUUGAAAUCAAUCCAAUAUCCUUUCGAGAAUCUAGAGUGAUAUCAACAACCUCCUAGUUGAAGUACAGACGAGGAAGCAGCCUAUUAGUUUCAGUCCAGUCCAGGAAAGGAGCGGAGCCUAUUGAUAUAGCUUAGUAGAGCUUCGCCAUGAUAGCAGUUUGUUUUAACAAGUAGUAGGAAUGCGUGCUGAUGUGCCAAAUCUCCUCGUGCUCCUUCCGGAUAAUCCGAAAUCUAGGGGUAAAGGAAAGAUCAAGGUUUUCUCCUUGAUCAAUCGACUUGCCUGCUUCCUUUCAUCUGGCCAACGGUUCCUGUAUCAUUAGCUAGAUCUGUUAUGUCAACCUCAGAGACAGAUGCUUAUGUAAGAAGAAGGUAUCCCGAGGGGAACAUGUCAAGUAUCCGCCUGGCAUCGAACUCUAUUUUAUGUAUGUUAAUGAAAGGUUUAGACUAAAGCGGGGUAGAGGAAUUGGUCAACUCAUCAGGCUCAUGACCUGAAGACAGCAGGUUCGAAUCCUGUCCCCGCCUAAUCACGUGUACGAUUCAAUGAAAUAGCUAUUUGGAGUCCACUGAUGAUUUGCUAAUUGUUUGAUGAUCCUUGACUAGCUAUAUAGACCCUAGGAACUUGCAUGUGCUAUUACUGCUGUAUAAAGGAAAGGUGGCUCACGUUACCACUCUCCCCUAUUCCUACAGGAAGGAAGAGUCCAUCAAAUGCAAGUCGCUACCAGUUUCCUAUUUUGGAUGAAUACCAUCGCACCAUUUGACCUCGAAGUAACGAGUACUCAAGGAAUCCUCUGGAAUUCCAGUCAUGAUGAUCAGGUACCCGGAGUACAUCACCCUCAUCAGGAAGAAAAGAGAGAGAAGUGGAGUAAAAUGGAUUCAAAUGCCGCAUUGCAAGUGAACAAAAGAAACCAGUGGAAAUAGAAAGAGAAUGAACAAGUGUAUCAAUUCAUGAGUUAAGGAAUACUAUUGGGAAGAUUGGGUGACUAAUAUCCUGAGAAAACGAUCUCUUGCUUCCCUUGAAACAUGCUGAGAGGACCAUUUCGAUUAGUGAGAAGCUCAGUUCAUGGGUCAUGACGACAGAUCAUAUCGUGUACCAGUGCACUGUUCUUUAGAGAUCUAUGUUCAGUGAACAAGAAUGUAGUGAGGGGUGCUACUUUAGUGUUAUUCCUAGACUGAUGAAGUGAAGACUUUAGGCCUCGCUAAUAGUGGACCAACUGAGAAUGUUUGUUUCUCUUUUCUGUAGAUAUCUCAAUAUUCCUUGAAAGCCUUAUGAAUGGUGGCGAGGAUGUGGAAGAGCUAGUCAUAUAGUCCUUUAAGCUUGAUUCCUUUUAUCGGUUAGCAAGGAGUUUGAAGCUUGAGUACUUUCAUUCAGCUUUCGUUCCUGUGGAAUGAAGUUGGUUCAGAGGUCUCAAGUAGAUCUUCUCAGACAGCGAGUAAUAUCUCUACUACACUUUCCUUCCACUUUAUGUUGAGCAAGUUCACCUGUUAGCUUUCCCGCCAAAGGACAGCAAGCCAGUAAUGUGAAUCAUCAUAGUUUCUGUUUUCAGACAAGUACAGCGUCCACCUUUAUCAUAUUAGCAAAUAGCUGAUCUUAAGAGAUCUCAAAUAAGGGACAUACUUUUUCGUAUUUCCGAAUGGAGCAGAAUAGUCAUUCAACUGAUGCUUUGAAAGUCUUAAACGAGGCGAUGUGUUUAUCUGUCUUUCCUCAUUGCAUUCCUAUACUUUCCUGCUUAGUAUCAAAACCAUGUGAUGGUACACUAUUUUGGCUAGAACUUGAUUUCUCUAACAACUCAAUAUGACUUUCUUUUUCGUGUUGAGAAACAUGUUCGGAUGCAACUUUCAUUGAAAAAUAAGCAUAAUGAAUUAACUGGCCAGUGGAAUUUUAUGAAAUGAGGGCUCUCGGGAAAGCAAGACUUAAGGAAGGUAGGCAAUUUCAUACCAAGAAGAGCAUUUAAGAACAGCUCAUAAGCAAUUCCAAGUGGCAGAGAUGACUCGAGGGACCUCGUCAGAUAAGCAUAUCCUAUAGUAAAUGUGGUACCUGGUCCAGUCAACUUGGAAGUAGAAACUGACCACUAGUGGGUGUCAAUUCAAAAGUCACUCUGUGGCUAACGCUUCUACUGCUAUCGGCAGGGCUUAGUCUCUCGUGGUUCAUUUCCACCGGAGAGCAUCUGUUUGAAUAAUUAGCAUAUAUAGUUGAUCACUCUAAUGACAACGGAUUCGAUUCGCAAAUUUCUCGUGAUUGACCGAAGGAAAGGUUAGCGACUGCUCUCCCUACGGAAUCUCAAGUAGAGCCAUUGCAUAGCUGGCAGACACGAUGGGCUCAGGGUUUCGACUGCUGUUCAUUCCGAUCUUAGGUCUCGCUCAGCGAAUUCAGAAGGGUUGGGUCCUUUGUCAAUGACUUACUUUCCUAGUAGCAGAGAUGCAAGAAUAACUACUUUCUUCUGCUAGGCUAUUCUUUGUUUUUGAAUCCAAGAUAAGUCAUUCCCCAGGGAAAAUCUAUAAUGAGCAUGAGGUAACAAUUCCAUGUUGAUCCGAAUCAAUCCGUAUGCUCCCAUCUUUCAGAGGAUUCCCGCUAAAAGCAUACAUGUACUGUCCCGAACUCCGAUUAAGAAAUAAAUGGAACCACCUAGACUUUGGGAAAGGGGAGUAGCGGACCUUAGGCCGAGAUGUGCAAUCCUACGGCACAUUCCAGUCAUCAAAUAAAGGAAAUCGCAAUCCUAAAUCCGGAAAGGAAUAACGAUUUAGGGCCUGGUUUUACUAGAACAAUACGUUCCCCACGAGAGGCGGGCAAUGCCCACUAGAGACUAAGAAAGCAUGCCUGUGGAGAAGAGGCGUAUGCCAAGUCAAUUGGUCCGAUUGUACAGGCAGAUCGAUACUUGUUUCCGGUCUGCUUUAGGCAGAGGGCAGAAUCUAUUGAUUGAGGAAAGGAUUGUUAUCCUACAUACAAAGGAAAGAAUACCCGGCAAAGUCAUUCAAUCUCCAAUUCUUCCUCACCUGGAUCAAGCCCAAGGCGAGAAAUACAAGCUUCUUUCCUCUCGGCCUAACCGGUCUUAGCUUUUCCUGUUCACGACUCCGAUCUUCUUUCAUCCGCAGUUCUUGCUAAUGUCUUCACUUUAAAGGGACAGAAGUUUCAAGAGAAAUGGUCUCUUUUGAUGGGCAUUUGUAGAUGAUGGUUGAUACUGCAAACAAUGCCUUCUUGACAGCUCUAGCAUCACCAGUUAUCUAUUAAGCAUAAAGAUACAUUCAAGAUAACAAUUAGCAGAAUAUAAGAAACAAAGAAUAGAUAUUGAAUAAAGAAAAAAAAGAGCAGAGCCUCAUAACCGUCCUAAUAGAGAUAAUACCACGUUCGUCUUGUUCUUUACGCCGAUCCAACUCGUGCUUUUUAGGAUGGAUUUCACACGGAAUCAAGGGAGGUGCGGGAUACGACCCAUAUCACAUUCCUGUGCCAUAGCUUGCAAAAUCAAAUAAAUCUAUCGAAGCUAGGGUGCCAGGCCUAUCAGAAUCAGAAGAACAAUCCACACUAAUGUAACCGUAAAGAAAUGGCGGCUCUAACAUAGAUUUUUCUCAAUAUGUCAUGUUGUUGAAAAAUCCUGUGGUAGCAUGGGAUGAUCGGCACUUUAGUUUUAGUUAUUGAUUUACGCAUCACGCAUUAACUAAUAUUUAUGGGGCUGGAGACUUCGCUAAAGCAUGCACAUAAAUAGAUGAAUGAGAGAUUACAAGGCAAGGAGAUACAGAUCUGGGGGUUGACUCAGAACUUGUACAUAGGUCAGCUCACUAAUGCUUAAUAACCAAUAAAUAGUCAAUCAAGAGAUAUGCACCAGCAAACAACAUUAUACUUAAAUAGUGUAUUAGGCGGCAAAUGGCACAGAAGAGUUUAGACGAUAGAUUCUCUACAACAGGUAGGGAUCGGGGGUUAUACGCUCUUUUCUAUAAACAAAGUAGGCUUGUGAUUGUCCGCAUCCAUCACUCAAUCAUGCAAUUCAAAGAAAUGGUUUACUUAUCUUCUUCUAAAGGAUGGAAUUGCUAGAUUGUCAGUAAUAUCAAUUGAGGAAGAAGCUAGUCCCACUUAAAUUCGAAAAGAAGACCUCUAUUGUGACAGAAGAUUCCUCGCCCACAGCAUCUCACUUAUUGAUUGUGACAUAGCUCUCUAUCUCCGCUCAUAAGAAGAUAGCGUUUCAUUCACUCGCUCUAGAAACCAUAGGAGCUACUAUUCCCAAGUUUAUUAAGAAUGGGCACUCACUGGAUUCAGGCUUCCACCGUUCUAGCUUCUCUUCGUAGUUCACUAGAAUGUAUCGAGCAUGUUUAUCCGGAUCAGGAGGCUUUACAUAAAUUGCUACGAUUGCCAAGUCGAAAAAGAACUGGGCAUGAAAGUGAAAGUGGAAAGAGAAGGGAGCGUGACUUGUUUCAAGAAUUGGAUGCCCUUGUUAAGGAAAUCUAGUAUAAAAGGAUAAAUUGGGCCUAUUUAUCACUUUUGGUACCUAACCACCUGAACUGGGAAUCCAGUACCCAACUCUCUACUUUGUUUUUGCACCCAGGGCGAAGACCAAGAGCUGGAGAUAAGAACGGAAGAGGAGAAGGUGAGGCAAGCCAUGCUAUCAACAAAUCCUAUAAGCAUGCGAUCCAUCAGCCCGGUCCGGUCCUUUGAUUAUCGAUCUGGAAAAGAGAGAAGAACCGGAGAUGGGGGCAGAUCCUUCUAGAGAUGGACGCGCUUUUUGACUCGAGAAAGUACUAAUUAAUUAAUAGGGGCGCACUUGAGGUGCAAGCCGUUUCUUGUUGCGCCAGAGGAGAAAGCGUGUCGACUGGCUCUAGUGAGUGGUCUUUAACAAACCUAGUCUAAUCUUAGCCAACAGCCGAUCUCUCUUGAUCGAUCAAUAGAAUAUGAGACCUCCGGGUCAGCAUUUCCUGUAUCUGGUUUCGGGAAAGCUAAGCUAUUCGUUACAAAGGAAGCAAGUUAACCACGAAUCGAUGAGUGUGUAUCACUUUGAGAUGGAGAAAGCGGCUUUCUUGCCUUCACUAUAAAUGAAGAAAUUUUUAACUGAUCUUGACGUCUGCCUGAUACUGGAUGCGGUAAAAGCUCGAACGACCUUCAACCACUCCUGCCUGCCUGCCGGAACUAUUAAGCUGAUAGGAAUGAGAAACAAGCUGAGCUGAAACAUUACGGGCAGCUACAUCUAGGCUUAUAGUAAGCGAUUCAAACUCUCUCUUUAGUGGACACACACGACAUGAUAAAUGUGAUGGAAGGCUGGAGACAUCGCUCCAUCGGGCAUUAGACAGAAGCCAGUGGUAUCCAGAGUGUGCUACCCCGGCUGGACCAAAAAGGGAUUAAUACUACUUCAAAGUCGAAAAUCCGGUAACCGUGACCGCUACGGUGAGCAAAUGCAUCAUCAGUGCUGUAUUUAAAUUGUGUGCUAUCCUUGAAAAGGGCUUCACAUUUGGAUGGAAUUGCAACAUGCAGGCUUUCUGACUACCACUGAUGCUUGCUGUGGGCUGGGCAAGUAUGGUGGCCUAUUCAUAUGUGUUCUUCCACAGAUGGCGUGCAGCGACGCGUCAAGCCAUGUCUGGUUGGAUGAAUUCCACCCGACAGAUGCUGUGAAAAAGUUGUACAGCGAAGGUGAAAGAAAAGCAAUUCCCUGAAGAACUUGCAAUGCUGCAUCAAAAUUUCCCCUCUGAUAUUCCAGUCUUCCCAGCAAAUCGGGCCUCCUGAUAUACAAUCAAAUAAACCUUACCAGUGAGCAAAUCAGCAAAAGAAACUACUACUAUUUCCUUUGAAGAGAGAGGGGUUCAGCCAAACCCAAACCUCAUAAUUUAUCUCUCUAAGGUCUGAUUCCACUUCAUUUACGUGGCUAUCAUCAGGCGUCGCUUCUCGAUUUCCUGUCCUCGAAGAACCAUUUGCUGAGAAAUCCCGUGUUGCAAGAGAUUCUGGCGAUCGAGGCAUCUCUUCAAACUUGGAUUGGUCCCCGCUGCAAGUACAUAACAUGAUGGCAGCCAUUUUCUGCUUUGCGGAUACUUUCACUUAAUUUAGAUUAAAAAUGUCAUCUCUGUCUGAAGAUCUUCCCUUGGGGCCAAUGGUAUUGACCAUUCAUCAAUAAGAACCUGGGAAGGAGAUGAUGUAAGGGUCGGCAACAAUGAAUAAGGAAUCGAUCGGAGUUCCAGGCACAAAACAAUUAUACAGAACUGGGUAUACCAAACAGUUGAUCAGCAAGGCAAAUGUCCACUAAACCAGCUAAACGGCUCACGAAUUGUUUGGAAUGCGACGGCAAAUGUGAUCUCCCAGCAAUAUCUCGAGUCCAAAACCUCACCCAUCUACAUAUAUCAUCAUCUGCGGCAAGAACAUAGCAACACCAAAAUCCUACCAGCAACUGCAGCAAUGCACCCUCCUCACGACAGCCAACCAUCGACGGUGUCAGACUAUGAUUCAGUUGCAGUACUACUCCUCUUUGUUCUGUUUCAUGUUUUUGGCGGUUUCGUUCUUGUGUCUGAGUCCGAAGAAGACGGUGGAUGUUGAUCCAGUAGCAAAAUUUUGCUUCCUGUUGCAGGAUUUAUGUAUCGUGCCGUGCGUAGUAGUGGUAGAGUAUGUUCAUGUGAUUGAUCACUAGCCUGGCCGAUAUGGUCGAGGAGAACAUCGGUUAUUUUGCUCUUCAUCUAGUAGCUGAACCAUUAUAUGAUAUGAUCUGAUCUGAAUGGAUGCAGUUUUGCUUUCUGCUGCUACAAUGCUUCUUGCUCUGCUCUGUCUGGUAAUUUCUCCUCUGUGGAAUGCCCUUUAGCUCUGUGCUGCUAUAUUGCUCCUUGCGCUCUGCUAUGCUAGUUCACCGCUGUAUACGACCAAGGAGAAUUGGUUUGCACCAGAGACUAGUAGGAAAUCCUUGCAAAACAGAGCUUUCUUAAUUAAUUAAUUGGCCAUGUCAUGUCGCUGCACCUGACUGAGAUCAGCAUACUUGAUUCAUUCUGUAUUUUGGUGAGGUGUCCUGGCCCUCUUUUUUUCUUAUACCUAUAUAUAUAUAUAUAUUAUUUGCGAAUCGUCCGGACGACUCAGAGAUUGUCCGUCUUAUUCCUUCAUUUCAUAUAUUUUUUUUUGGUAAGAUCUAUUGACAUCAAAAUAUAGCCAUAAACAUACUUCCACCUUCGGUGGGCUUCUAACUCAAGUUUUCCGGAAAGGAAAAUGGUCAUACAGUCGCAAAAGCUAUGGUACCAAUCGAGCAAAGAGCCAUUCUAGAGCGAGACCACCGAAGAGAGGUCGGCCCGCCAUCUGCCGCCGAAGGAAGAAUUGUUGGCGAAAGUCAGGUAGUAGGAAGCCCGCCCCCUCUGUCAGACCACGUACCAUCGUGCCUGGCGUAGAUACGGACGACAUGGAUAAAAUCCAGGUUUAUGUACGACAUGCUCUUUCCUUCCUUCAUUCGGUGACGCACAGAGGUGGCAGAGUCUUGUUCCUGGAGUCGCUCACAACUUUUGGGAGCACCGAGAUCCUGAAUAAGAUGCUGCACGAAUUGGCUGAGGUGUUGGGAGCCCCCAAUAGAGAAGGACGAUGUGGAAAGGUAUGGUGGGAAUACAAACAGGCCUGGACAGAAGAAGUAGACGAAAGACCUCCAGGCUGUGUCGUCAUUCUCAAUCCUGAAAAGGGAGCUCAUAAACGCCUAUAAAAGUAGAAAUGUUUUAGUUCGACCCGAGCUAGUCAGCGACUUCAAUGCCUUAAGCGAUCUCGAUGUCCCGAUGCUUUAGGCUCCCGGUAGCAAAGCAGGGUUCCAAUCAUACCUUUCUAGUGCCAAGCACAGAAACAAUCCAUGGUUUCGUGUCCCGAACAACACUUUCAUCCCUUGAGGCUCCCUCUUCUGUACUUCUUCAUCCUCCGAGUCCCAUCUCUAUUCUGUGUAAUAAUUGUACCCGCCGGGUAGUAAUUUGCUUCUCCACCCCUAUGGGAGAUCACUAGCUCUCUCCUGCCACAACAGCUUCCAUUUUGGAACUUCGGUAUUCUUUUACUCCGCGUCUGCAAGGCUAUCGUCACCUUCGCUAUAUACCUUUGUUAUCACUGCUUCUUCGCUCCAAAACUACCUCCUCUUUUCUAAAAAAACUGUCGUUAAGCUCCCUUAUUCUGAUCUGAUUGAUCGGUGUAUUAAAAGCAACAUGGCACCUUUUGACAAAACUUGAGUUUGAAGAGGUCAAGGUUGGAUUGUACCUAACAGGAUUUGAGUGGCCUUCUCUAUUUAGAGCCAAUCGUGGUUCGGGUACCGAGUCCUAAAAGUGUUUCAUCUGGUUCCGAAAGAGCUGGGUCGUGCCUCGUUGGAGUUGCUGAAGUUGUUAAGCGAUGGAGCGAAUCCGUAAUAGAACUUGCGCCCAGUAAGCAAUUGAAGUAGUGGUCUCGAAUUCCUUAACAAAAGUAAAAAUGAAAGUAAGGACAUGGGAGAAGCAACAUCUCAUCUGGUCUGGUGACGGGUGCAGGCCUUGCUUGACUGUAUGGCCUUUCUUUUGUUCGUUCGAAGCGGCUAUUCCUGAUUCAGAAAGGAAAGGUAUGUGGGUAGACAUUGAGUUAGAGAUUGAAUGAAGGGGCACACUAGAGAAAAGCAAGGACAAGUAGCUAGUUGACUAACGCUUUCGAGCACGUACGCUGGCGCUCUUUGAUAGAGCAUUAUCUACAACCCUGAAGCGAACUAUGAAAAAGAAAUCUAGCAGUCUCUUCCAGCAAUGAAUUGUAGCAGGGCUUGGUCUCGAAAGGUAUAGAUACCACCAGAAGCUUGGAAAGAAGAAGGAAUGUCGACCUACCGCUCCGUGGGCUUUGAACCUUGCUUUUCUGUCAAAUUCUCAGACGCUAUAGCUGUGUAAAAACAGUACUCGAUUUCUCACUAGAAAAAACAACAGUCUUUAUUGUUGUGUGCAUAUUAGUCACUGAUUAUAGCUUUGAAUAGGACAAACUACUUUAGUAACUCUUGACUAUUGCUUGAAACAAGCGUUGAAGCAAUGGAAAGAAGCGAACGGUUAAGCUAAUGCAGCAAGAAAAGGGAUGCAGCAAGUGUCCAAAAAUCGGAUAUGCCCGGUGAAAAUUAUAAACAAGGCUGAGGAAGGAUUUCGUACUGCCACAAUGCUCUUGAUAGAAGGAAGCAUGAAUACCGAAGGCCUACCUAGUUGAAAUAGGAACAGCUAUGGAAGUCCUCGGCCAAACGAAUAUUUCACGGAAAGCCGACAAGGGAUUUUCUUAAUAACUGGGCGCUUUGAUUCUUUGGAACAACUCGAUGAAUUUAGUAGAUCUUUUUAGGAGGCCUUCCAUGACCAUAGAUCGAACCUAUCCCAUUUUGACAGUACGAUGGUUAGCUGUUCACGGAUUAGCUGUACUGGAAUGACAACACAUAUGAGAAUCUGUACACGAUACAGAAUAACGACACGACACGCAAUCUUAUGACUACAGUAUGGCCUUCAUCUUUGACAGCAAUCAUGACAGGCCGCGGUAUUAGCGUUAGAGAAAGGAAAGGACUUGAGGUCCGUCCACCUACAACUAAUAAAGCUCCGCCUUUGGGGACUACUACAACAGAUAGGCAUUUGAAGGACCAAACCACCUACUGAGGACUUUGACACCCAGCCCUUAAGAAGCAGAAUCUACAACUUUGGGAUACGUAUUUACAGACUGCAAAAGAUAGAUACAAUGCUGUUACCCACCAUGCAUGCAAAUCUUAGUUCUAUGGACUACUAGUACCAGGAACGUCAUCUACUACUGCGAAACUCCCGGGGGACGCUUUUCUAACUGGUUUAGCCUCUAGAGUGGGGAGGAAGAACACCCUCUAGACCAGGAUAACUUACUAAUUCAAUUGACAAAGCGUCCUAUUUGCUAGAUUUCUAGUCGUUAGCUCUUAGUGAAGACGAAUUGCUAUCAUCUGCGGGCGGCCCUCAUUAUUGAAUUUAUCCGCCUUCGAUGCAACCAAAUUCACUAUUGACUUACGAGUUUAUGCAUGCUUCAUUCCUAUAUCGGCAUGUAUUAUCCGUAGGCUGGUUGUGAGACAUCUUCCUCUUAGUGCUACAAAUGGCUUCUUCCUUAGUUCUUUAUAGCUCUUUCACCUCUUUUAGACUCUUUGCAAUGUUUAGUGCGGGGAACUCUACACUAUUGUACUCAGAUGCUAUUCCUUCAAGAAAGUAUCGGAAAGCAAAAAGGGACUCGUUCACCGUAUCGCGUCCAAUACAGCUAUGCCACAAGUUGACCUAACCAACUGGUAAACAAAACCCAAGUUAACGGAUCGACCUAGGAAUAGGAUGAAUAGAACCAUUGAAUCGUCACCCAAUGGAGCAGAGAGCCUUCCUUUAAGAAAGAAAUAACUCCCUACAACAACCGUGUUUCGAAACUCGAUUCAUUAUCAUACGAGAAAUUGCAUGACAAGAACCUUCAUUCCUACAGAGAGGUUGAAGCUAAGUUUCAAGACCUAGUACGGGCAAAGCGCAGUUCAAAACCGAAAGGAUCAAAGAAAAGGGAAUAUCACGAAGGUAAGCACAUUCUAUUUUUCUUAAUUGACAAAGCAAAGGGAGUUAUCAACCCUUUUUUCCGAAACCCUAUAACGGCUAGUUCCCAAUGCUCGGCUUCCUACCUCCUCUAACAAAAUCAAAGGUAAUAUCCUCCGUUUUCCAAGAAGAUAAGUUCUACGGCAAAGGAUGUCAACGGAACAGUUUCGGCAAAGGCAAAGCCCGGGAGAAAUCCAAUAGCGUAUGGCGAUAAUGUCAUCCCCACCGAAUCCUCAUCUUCAAAGCAUUUUCUUGCAAGGGCCUAUCGCGAAAGAACUCAAGCCAAUACUUUUGCAUUUUCAUGUAGUAGAUCCUAGGAAACAUACGUACGAGAUAUUUACAGCCCUUCUUCGGCAAGGGUAUCCGGUAAAAGGAGGACGGUUCCUAAUCUUUUGAUCGGCAAAGGGUUCGAUGCAUUAGUUUUCGACUAUGAACGAGUCAAUCAGCUAGAUCUACUUGCGGCAAACGGCACCUUCCUUUCCCAGCCAAUGGUACGUAAGGCAAUGGUUGUUAUUGAAGUUCAGAUCAGAUCAGGGAAUACCCUAGGUUUCGGCUUUUUCCACGGUUCCGUAACGGUAGGUUUCGGCUCCUCGCUACAUCCCUUCCGCUCCUACUAAGGACGCUGCUGAACCGAUAGAAUUUGCCGAGCGAGCACUACCAUAACUUAUGGUAUCUGACCAGUGUUAAGCAUUAGCCAUCCAGGGAAUGAAACUAUGCGACUACCUGCGCUGUCACACGGCUCCAUUUAUCGAAGAAAGGGAUCAGACUGCUGCCAUUAAGGCAAUGAAAUUGACGAGGAAGAGUAAGGAGUUUGGCUGCGCCAAAGCAGAGGAACGGAGGGAAGCAGCCGCCGCUGCACGGGUCCUGCGCAUUAUCAAAACCAGGCAAUGUAGUCAAUGAACAAAAGUUUCGUUUACCACUGGGGUUCUUCAUAUGCACAGUCAGCUCAGGUAACGUCCAGAGGUGUUAAUACAAAGCAAGAAUUGGAUUCUAAGUAUUGCCAUUUCGUGUUCAGAAGUCUGAAGCACAUCAUUUGCGGGAAGCAGCGAGGAAGAAAAGCGUACCGUAUUGACGGUAGUGCAGAAUGAUCUCCGUCACGAUAUCGUACGUAUCUCCAGAGCACGAACGUACGGUAUACAACCGAGUUGCCCGACGUCGGACACAACAAACUUUCGAGCACCCUGUUCAUUUAGCCUCUUAAUCGAUGGAAAGAAAAUAGAGGUCUGCAGCAAACAAGAGCAAGCGACACUAAACUACAGUAGUGAUAAAUUGGCGGAACCUUCUGAUAAAAUGACAGAUUGGAAACCAACACCAACACGUCCAGAAAGUAUGAAGGAUAAGGCUUCUCUCGUCCAAAGAACGGUACUGAAGGCGAAAGAUACUCAAAAAUAUGUCAUUGGAUCCAGCUGCAACAAUGAAGAGCGCCGUCUUGAAGAAAUCACUUGCUGCUUCCUCCACCAUGUUCUCCAGUAUCUGGUCUUUUCGAAGUAGCUUAUUAGCUGAUAAGCACUAGCUGAGGCAUCUAGCUGAUGAGGUAAUCUCUGCAUAUAAUACCAACCAAGUUGGUUGUUGUUACUACAUGCUGCGAGCAUUUGGGAAAAUGACAGAAACAUAAAAUGGGUUUCUAGCUGCAUAAGCACAAUUAUACAGAAAGCAGUCUCCUUUAUUCGUAUCUGGGGAAAGGGUUGGUUCUCCAAAUUCUCUUUAAAGAAUGUUAAAGCAGUACUGUAAUUUUCUGGUGAAAUGGAAAGUGGUUGCUACCAUAUUGUUUGUAGUGAUUACAUCAUAAUCCUCAUCUUCAAAGCAAGGCUAUCCACCAGGGCUUCCAAUGCUAGGCUAACCUCGGCAAAGAACCCAAGGGAUUUGCAAAUUCUUGAAUCGAUAGACUUUCGUACAACGGCAAACAAACAGACGCGAUAGAGGGUUUUACGCUACUUCACAGUCAGCAGCAAGAGUGGAUGGUAUAACUCUAGCCAGCAGGCGGGAGGGAACGAAGCUCUUUCCUGAUCUUGAGCUAGAAUCCCUGACGUUGGUUGAUUUAGCUGUGGUGUAGCUUAGGAUCUUAAAGCUAUGCAGCUGGGUUGAUCCCUAUCGAUGGAAUGGAGCUUAUCAACUCAUGAAUAGCAUGGAUCGCCUUCUACUAUACCGGGCUAAGGUGCAACAAUGGAAGCAUACCAUGGAUAAUCCAGAGAUACAUCCUACCUAUGCCGAGAGCACAAAGAUCAAGCUAAGUAAACAGGUCUAGUUAAAGCCCACUGGAGUAAGGAAAAUACAAUAGGUUGCUUUUUUUCCCACCAUACCUGGCAAUGAUUGGUAUCCCUUGAUAUGUUAACACAAACUAACCAGUUGUCCCUUCCCCUAGAGGGGUUUCCUAUAUGGAUUCGUUCCCCUGAGCAUCUUCCAUGAAUUGACGUAUAUUCACGUAGCGAUAGCGGUAUCUUUUGAUAGAAGCCCACAUACCCACUCUUCUAUCCCACCUAUCCACAUAGGGUAUCAGUGGCCUCGUGAUCUCCAUGAACAGAGAUCACUACACAAAAACUGCUUAUGUUUCCAAAUUAGUCCAACUUCGUACCUUUCCGGCAUAAACCGUAUAUCUCAGAGAGGUCGUAUUUCUGUGGGUUGGUAGUAAUGGAAUGGUUUCAUUAUCUAAAAUGAAGAACAUUUCCCACCAAAAGAUCAGUCCAAUAAUACCACUCACUGGUAAAUAGCGCAAUACUUCUUCGUGAAUCUCCGCUAUUUGAAUAUUGAACAUCAUAACCACGAAUAGGAAUGAAACGGCAAUAGCUCCUAUAUGAACUACUGGGGAGAUCAUAGCGGAGAAGUCGAGACCUAACAAAAUAAGUAAACCAGAAGUGUCGCAAAAGACUAGGAUGGGAAACAAAACGGAAUGUACCGGUGAAUGGAAAAUUGAUUCUUGGGUAAUUUUACUCUAGAAAAAAGGAGGAGAAAGACCCUCGCUCACGUCGGCAGGCCCCGUAGGGGCAGUUGACGGAGGAACCAGGGCGGAAACUUCCCCACCAAUUGGGUAGAUGGAAGCUAUAUACAUAUAAAUAAAAGGGACAUACAUAGGUACCCACGGAAUGGGUAUAGGAAAAAGCGGCUGGCCACUCAAAUAAUGAAAAUGCAAUAGAAAAAAUAGAUUCAUUUGAUAAAAAUUCUGCAAUUGAAAAAAUAGAUUCAUUUGAUAAAAAUUCUGCAAUUGAAAAAAUUGAUUCAUUUGAUAAAAGUGAAAGUAAUGCAGAUUAGCAUUAGCGGUGAAAUAAGGGAUACUUGAAAUUGGAUUAGGGUUAGGGGGAGGAGGGUCAUUUGGAGAUUCUUCUUCUUCCAACUCCAUGUAAUUAGAACUCACACUUUCGCCACUCAAAGCCGGUCCAUUGACCGAAUUUGGGUAUGACGACGAAGGGUCAAAUUCGAUAAGCAUCCCGUCUAUUGAUGAUGGAAAAAUCCAAGGAUCCAUCGUUACUUCCCAUCUUUUUCAGCUCUGCUCCCGAAAAGAGAAAGGAGACUGAUCUUGACGUCGGCGUUGGUUUUUCCAACGAAACAUUCUUUCACGAACUAAAUGCUAGUUGCCUUGUAACGCAUACACUGGAUUGUCCGGUGAGUGAGCCUACGACCACCAAACUCUUUUCAGGAGAUAGGUCUACCGUUGCAAACUCAUCUGCUUGUAAAUUCAUUGUGUAAAAUAACUCGUAAAUUCAUUGUGCCAGAAUUGAUCACUGAUCAGGUGUGAUCAGUCUCAUCCGUCUAAGGAUCCGGUGCGAUGAGUCUCAUCCGUGUAAUAUUUUGGAAUUCCUCUUCCAACUCGUCCCGGAAUGGGCGUUAUGGCAAAGAACAAGAAGAAAAAGACAGAAGGAAUUUGUCCAAUAGUAACAAAUGGUGCCUCCACAGGUUGACAUCCGAUCCAACCUAGUAGUAAGCAAUCCGCCAAAAGCAACCAAAAUAUUCCUUGGUGAAUCGGUCGAAAACUUGAACUACGCACAUACAUUUCUUUAAAAAAAGGUAAAGCCAAGAGAGAUAUAAAAACUGGUGCUAUUGCGGCUACACCUCCCGCUUUGUCAGGUAUACUGCGAAGAAUGGCAUGGAUCGGUAGGAAAUACCAUUCCGGCACAAUAUGAGGCGGGGUGGGCAUCGGAUUAGCAGGUAUAUAAUUGUCGGGAUGCCCCAAAACAUUAGGAGCAAAAAAAAUCCAAAUGGAAAAAAAGAUAGCAGAAGCUACCCGACCUACAAGAUCCUUUACAUAAAAAUAAGGGUAAGAAGCAAUUUUAUCCAUCUCAGAAUGUACACCCAAUGGAUUAUUUGAUCCAUAUUGAUGCAAUGCGGCCAGAUGAAGAAGACUGGCGCCUACUAAAAUAAGGGGGAGUAAAUGAUGGAGACUAAAAAAACGAUUUAAGGUGGCAUUGUCCACGGAGAAACCACCCCAAAGCCAAGUCACUAUGGUAUCUCCUACUACUGGUAUGGCGCUAGCUAAGCUUGUAAUUACUGUUGCUCCCCAAAAGCUCAUCUGACCCCAAGGUGGUACGUAUCCUAUAAAAGCUGUCACAAUCAUUAAUAGGAAUAUGACAACUCCGAGACACCGAACAAAUUCCCUAGGACUGCUAUAACUCGCAUGAUAUAGACCACGAAAAAUAUGAAGGUGAACCACAAUGAGAAACAUACUUGCCCCAUUAGCAUGCAUAUAACGGAGCAACCAGCCCCCUUCAACAUCUCUCAUAAUGUGUUCUACGCUGUUGAAAGCUAGAUCCACAUGAGGUGUGUGAUGCAUAGCUAAAAAAACGCCAGUCACUAUCUGAAUGACUAAACAAAUACCUGCUAACGAACCGAACCCCCACCAAUAACUAAGAUUGCUCGGGGUUGGAUAAUCUAUCAAAUGCUGGUUAAGUGUGGAGUAUAUAGGUUGUUUAAGAAGAGAGAAUCGUUGGUUCCUUAUAGUCAUUUCUCUUUUCUAUCGUUACAACUCCUCUUCCCCCUUAUUUACCCCCUUGCCUUGAUGGAAAUUGGAAAGGAGAGAAUUUGAAUAAAGUAACUCUCGGAAACUCUUAUUGGACGAGAGAGAGUCAAUAUUAUAUUGGCGCGGGUUCUACCAACUAAACGAAUAAGUUUUGGAUUGGUCUUUCUUAUUAGGCCCCCGUUUUAGGGGGGGAGACAUGGGAGUUCCUUGGCUCGAGAAGCUGAACCUCCAUUCUCAUACCGCGAACCCAAUAGUAAAAUCCAGCAAAUAAAGCAAAAACGGCUCCCAUAGAAAGUACAUAAUGGAAAUGGGUAGUCAGUAUUGGUAUAAGAUCUAUUCCCAUGUUCCGAUCUUUUCAUUUUAUGUACCCAUUUCUUGGGUAAAAUCUCCCAACACCCGCCCCUUCAUACUUGGGGGGCGUAGUUGACUAAAUCAAUCCAGUUGCUAACAUCAAGGAAUAACCAACUAUGAGGUCCACGUAACAUGACAUCAUAAUAAGUCUCUCUUAGAAAGUCUGGCAUUACUAUUAUGUUUUCGUUCACAGCCCGAAGAAGGUCAGGCAUGUCCCAUUGUGCGGGUAUCUGUUUCCCUUCUUGCUCCACUAAUCUUGUGCAUUCUGCACAAAUCCUCAUAAACAAGUCGGAAGCCUCCGGCGGAGCGCUUUCCGCAUCUGACCUAGUUGAUGAGAGACUAAAAAAAGACAUAUUAGUUUGAGUUUCUUGAUAAAAGCGUAUAUCACUGGACGUGAUAUCUCCAUAGAGAAUCAAAUCUCUAUCAUUCAUUGGAAUUUCCCAUUUUUAUUCAGCUCUGCUCCCUAAAAAAAGGGGGACUUUCUAAAGUGACUGGGUUUUUUACCCAAGAACCUGCUAUUAAAGAGAAAGAGACAGACUAACAAGAAACAGCCUUGACUUAUUCCUACCUGGGACUGAACACCUACACAAUAGAGAUUUGAAGAAGUAACAACAUUGUUCUUUUUAAGUACAGUAAGAUUUCGACAAAAAGAAUGGGGGUCUUCCCCUCGCUUUGAGGGUCGCUUGAAUUUGAGUUCGUUUGCUGGUCAGGAUCGCCUCGAAAGCCGUUUGCGGGCGCAUACGUUUUCUCGCUUCAUUGUUAUACGAUUUUUUUCAAACGAGAUCCCUACCUACGACAUAAUUAGCGGGUCAGCCUGCCUUUAGCCUUGGAAGAACUAUUUGGUUGGUACUUGAUAAUUUCUAUCUGUGGCUACUCCGCGAGCCCUUGCAAAAUGGGACUUCCCUAGCUAUCAGUCUAAGAAUGCUUCAACGAGAAAACAAGCUGGCACAUGACAUCGUCUACCAACUGAGCUAUUUUCAUCGCCAUUGAAGCAAGUUUAACGCAAGCUCUACUCCCGGAAAGACAUGAACUCGGUUCCCGUACUGGUCACAUGCAAUUAGAGCCUAUCAUCCGCAGAUAUGGGGCGUAUGUCUUUACUAUACGCAUAUUUUUAUUCAUCCGUGAUAAAUGAGUGCUUCUCCUUUCCAGCACAGUGGNNNNNNNNNNNNNNNNNNNNNNNNNNNNNNNNNNNNNNNNNNNNNNNNNNNNNNNNNNNNNNNNNNNNNNNNNNNNNNNNNNNNNNNNNNNNNNNNNNNNCCACUGUGCUGGAAAGGAUCCUUUGUAAGCUACAAGGCCAUAGAUAUUGAAAACCUCUCUGUACUCGUUGGGAGCAAAGUUACUUGGUGUGUGUGCAGGUCCACGUCUUCUGCUAGCGCCAGGGUGGAAGACACCUACUUGUUGAGCCUAGGAGUCCUCUUGGUUCGAUAAACCUUACAGUCUCCGUGUAAGGGAAAUCUGCUGCUGACUACAUCUCCACCUCCACUUGGGGUAACCAACGAGGGGCAAGAAGUAUAUCCAUCAACUCGUCAUCACACAUUAAUGCUUAUGUAAAAGUGGUAACCCCAUUUGUGCUUAACGAUGAGUAUGACCUAUGAUCAAGUAUUCUUACUUGGCUCCUAUGUCAAUAUACUCAUAUAUAGAUGACUUUGUCAUCUCCCAAGUGCUUGAUAGCUGUUAGGUUGUGUGUGCAUGUUCACCAUGUUUUAUUCAUCAUUCCUAUUGUGUGAGCAUGUUGGUGUGCAUGUGUUUGAUCAUUCGAGGACAUCCAAUUGUGGUUAUUUGGCCUUUGAUUUAUCUUUUUCCAAUUGGAUGGACAAGAAUGCCUAGGACCCUUCUCUAGCUAUCUAUGAUAACUCAUCUCAAGUUCUAUUCAUGCUUCAUCACAAAACUUGAACAAGCACUUGUCGAUCCCUCUGUGUGUAGGUGCACUCGGAGUUCCUUAUUGUCAAAGGCUGCCUUCCAAAACCUCCUUGAAAAACUCGGUGUGACCAACUUCACAAACUCAGAGCCACCGAUUUUUCAAAGUUGACCAGGUUUUCAAUCUUGGUACCACUGAAAUCGCCAACUCGGUUACACCGAGUUUCCCUGUCUGCUGACAGUUGAGGAACUCAGUGACACUGAUUUUGCCAUCUCAGUGACACGAACAGCGCACAUGUGUAUAUACCUGCGGACCGAAUCUUUGACAAUACUUCAUAAAAAUGUUUCGUUCGCCAAAACCCUCGCUGCCCUCCAGACCCCAGGUCAUCGCCCUUGACUCCCCGAGCGCCUCCGCCUCUCGGAUUCGCCGCCGUCGACGUAAUCUGCCCCACCUCGUCGCCAUAGCCGAACCGCCACCGAGUUAGGGUACGGUUCGAUCUCCCUUGCGUUCCCCGUCCGGUUCUUACGCAUUAGGAUAGUUUAUUUCUCAUACCACCAUGUGCAAACCCUUCUAUCCACGAGACAAAUCUCGUAUAAUAGAAGAAGUAGAAAUUCUGGAUCUGAUCUGCCACAACAUGCAACUCGGUGAGACCGAGUUUGCAAAAUCGGCUCCACCGAUUCCUGUUUUAGGGUUCCUGAGAGGAAACUCGGUGAUACCGAGCAGUUCGUUUCGGUGCCACCGAAAAUGACUGGCAAGUCUGUGUUAAGCGAGUGAGCCUUCUCGGUGACUCUGAAAUUGCCAACUCGGUGCCACCGAUUUACAUCCUGUAGAAGAUCAUAUUCUGAGUUUCAAAACUUCAUAUUUCAAAAAACUUCUGAAACUUUGUGAUGCUCAUCCAUUAUGUCUUUCUUAUAUCCACUUCAUAGGUUCUAUUGUUUGCUGUUGAGUGUCAGUUAGCAUGUCAGGUU